rnacentral:lncRNA from 1 species
AGCUGUUGGUGUAGAUGAAGAGACAAGCUGCAUCAUCCGUGCAUAGGAGGAUGGAGGAGGAACAAAGAAUAAGGAAGGCUUUACAAGAUUAGGGGUAGGUGCUGAUAGAGGUGGAGAUGGUAUUUGCAAAGUUGGCACGAUAGGAGAAGCAACACUGGCGGGAUGAGAAGGUAAAGAAAUAGUUGUAUUGGACUGGUAAGGUUGUGCAGAGAUUGCUGCAUUAGAAGUAUUCCCCACAGUCAAAGCUGUCUGCAAUGAUAAGGACAGAUGUCAUAUAAAAGGACAUCAUAGAAGUUGAACCUCACACAAAAAUGAAGUGAUAACAUAUGAAAAUAGUAUAUGACUUGCUGCAUUUUUGUGGUAAUGUUGCAUACUUAUGUAGAAACAUAUUAUUUCAAAGAAAACAUACACUGAAGAAGUUCACAAAAGCAGGAUCUUCAGGAACAUCAACAGCAUUUGAGGGAGUUGACUCUAGAGGACCAUCCAUAACUGCCAUAGUUGGAACAGCUUCCAGUUCCUCAAACUCACUGCAGUUUAACAUAAAAGGAACUUGAUGACCAAUUUAAGUAAUAAUUAGAUGAUAUAAGAGGUUAGGGAAAAUGAUGAGUGGACCCUUAUGGAAGAUGAUUUCACCUUAGCUAAACACGAAAAUAAAAUGAAAUCAAAGCUGAAUCCUCGAGUGCAAUGCAAAUAAUUUUUUCUCUCUCUUCUCUAACUCCUCUUAUUCGAAAUUGCUCAUCAUUGUGCAGUUCCUCGAGAUUUUGCUAGAAUAGAGAAAGCUAUUCUCCCGUUAAGUGCAGAGGAAAAAGAAGGGCAAGGGCCUGGUAUGAUGCUAUUCUAUAGGAAGUGAGAAGGUGAAGGGCUAAAAUAUUUUGCAAUUUGGAGGUGGUGUUUGUUAGUGUGUGUACUUCUGAAUUUAUUACCUCUUUAGGAUCCAUAGAAAUUGCCUCUUGUUCAGCAUGCACUGUGCCUACGAGUAAGGCGAGCUUGCAUGGUAUCUAUUGUCUAUUUACUUGGAUAUUCAAACAGGACUACCAGCAACCAAACACAAAUCCCCAAACAAAACACUCUUUCAAGUGCAAGGAAAGAGUAACUUGGGCAUAUUUAUGGUUCAAGCACUACCAUAACUAAGAAUGUGAUGCUGUCCACAAACACUAUAUCAGUGCCUUUUGAACUACAUCACAUGCUCGAAGACUUUUUUUUUAGUCAUACAUAAAUUAGCUAUAAAAUUAAGACCAUUAUACAACUAAAAAGAAAGAAAAAUUGUUUGCCACUACAUAUCAAAACUGGUAAUAGCAAUGUAAGAUGGCAGACUUCUUACUUAAACAGAUGAGAGGCUACAAAUAAAAAAUUUGUGCAAAUAAAAUAUAUGAUAAAGAGCAUAAUACCUUCUUGGGGGCUAAAAAUAAUAUACAACUUGUGAAAUAUAAAUUGAGCUACCAUUACCUUUUAGAUGUGGCAACUUUCGACUUUUGAGGCACCUUGGAAUAUGCAUUCAGAAUCCUGCAUUUGGAAACCAAAUAAACAACGUUAAUAACAAUUUUACAAUAGAAAAAUUAAAAAUUGAUAAAUGGCAGUUGUAAUUUAUGUAUGCGUAAAGAUAGCUUCACAUCCAGGGUCCUCCCAUAAACAUGCUUGUAACAAGAAUUAGUUUGCCUCAACUGCUAGCAACUAUACAAUAGUAAAAAUCACUCUUAUGAACUCAACAAUACUAGGCACCAAUAAGAGUAUGAUACAGCCAUUCUAAAUGGAAGAGAAUACAACUGUUUUACAACUAUGUUGCAUCAGGAGAUAUGUUAGGAGGAUUAAUCCAGAUACCUUCCAACCCAAUUAGGAAAACUCAAGGUCAGAAACCAGGAGCUGCAACCAAACCUUACAAUCUUGAAGGAAGAAGGAGACUUGGGGCAUUUUUCCAGAUAGGUGACUUACAAGAUCUCCUGCCAAGAAAAUAUCUACUGCUUCGAACCUCCAUUGAAAUUUCUUUUCCGUUUUUCUUGUUUUGACUUGGAACUUUCCAGCAUCAUCUAUUUGAUCUUUUUUAAAGCUAAAAUAGCAAUCUAUGGGUUGUCAACAUCUUACCCCCCCCCCCCCCCCCGGGGGGCCCCCAAAAAAAAAACCAAUGAGUUGUCAAUAAAUAGCGCCUACUCAACUUAUGUUCUCCAAUGGAUGACAAUGUGCAAAUCGACCUAGCAGCCACAUUUUUCCCCCCUUUAAACCACCAUUAGGCAACUUUUCUAACCUUUCUUUAUUGCCCACGUCUACAGAACUAUCAUAUAAAGACUACAUUAUUAUUGGGAUAGAGAAAAAAAUACAGACUAUAUUAUUAUUAUAUCUCAUUUUAUUAAUUAACUAGUGCAAGACUUAUUUAGUGUCAAAUCAAGAACUAAUUAGAAAAGACAACUCAUGAUAAUACAGACCUUAAAAAGCAAUAGCUAGGACCACCCCAUGUACUCCUAUUUUAGCCUUCAAUAUCCUGGUAAAAACACAAUUAAGUCUUGCAAAAGAACAUUCACAAGUAAAUUCAACAUUAAUUAAGAUUAAGUAUCUACUGCACCUUCAAUCAAUGACUGGGUGAAUAGCAUGGUCAACCAUCCAGUUCCUGUAGCCCUCCUUGUACCUAUGUUAGUUACAUUUUACAUAUUAAGACACGAAAAUGAAGGAUCACAGCCUGGUAAAGAAAGCCAUUAAUUAAUAGUUUUUGUUUAAAAAGUUCUCGUUUAGAUCUUUCCUAUUCAAUGAAUCAAUGUAAUCCAAGGAGAACUCUUCCAUUUCAAGCAGUGUUAGAAGAUAAUUGGAAAGCCUAAAGAUAAUAUACAAGGACCAAGAUAUCAAUUAGGUCAAAUAGUGAAUGUCAAAUAUAAAAAAUAAAUAAAAGAAGUUGUACAUGAUCAUUUACUAUCAAGUUCUGUAAAACUGAAAAUACCAUUAUCCCUGUAGAGAUUCUCAAACAACUCUUUAGCAAAUUAUAAAAUAAUUAAAAAAAGAACGAAAGUUUAAAAAAAAAAAAUGUACAACAGCCAUAUCAGGAGAUGUUUUUCUUCUCAAUCUCAAUAUUUUCUAGCCGUAAAACAAUUGAAAAGCUUAACACCAAGUGAAUUAUUAAGAAUUCAUCAUUUAAAUUCCCAAAUCGCGAAAUGUUGGUGCAACUAGGAAAGUGCAAAUGCAAUCACUUUACUAACACAAGAAACAUCAAUAGUGAGAAGCCAACUUUGUAUCAAAUUUGAAACAGAUAGAUAGAGGUCAAAAAAAUUAUAAAGACACUCAAUUAAAAGCCUUUCAAACAGCUUUUGCAUGCAACAAGAACAAAUCAAAGGCGAUGUGAAUGUAUUGAAAGACUAAUUUACAAUCAUCUACAGGACAUAAAUAUCUUGGAUAACUACUCUCUAUACCCUACUGUCCCACUGAAAAUCAUCAAAUCCCUCCAAACAAAAAUGACAAAAUGGAUAAGAAUUGUGUGGUCAAACUUCAAUAACUUAGCAGCCAGAGCAAAAACUUAUGUAGACACGCAAGCCACUCAAAAUAGUCAUAUUGUUUGCUUUCCAAACACAAGCCACUUUGUAAUGAAUAUUCAUAAAUUGCUACUACCAUGUUUGUUAAAACACGUGAAAACUACCAUCACUAACUAAAUGUAACUAAUGAUCAUCAUCACGUUCAUGGAAUCACAUGUCUGACAGUAUUAAUUAGUGCAAAUGGCAUGCUUCUUAAAACUCCUUAUUUAUCACAUGGGCGCCAUUCCAAUCAACCAAUGAUUCUGAUCUAGUCAGCAUAUUCAACCUACGAGCCAGUAAUACCUCCAUUGCUUCUUUAGAUUUCUCAACAAAAUUCCACAUUCUAACCAUACUUCUGAACUUGUUGCUCCCAUAGACUAAUACAAUAUAAAGAUUUCUUCCCACACCACCUCAGCCCCCACUCCUAAAAAACCAAUUUAAAUUCUCAUUGACUGUACAACCUAUAGUCCAUACCAAAUUGAAAAACUUACAAAUAUAGAACCUCAAAGAAUCUUCUUGCGUUCCAUUUUUUACAGCAAGAAAAUUGACUUUUACCACAUGCAAGUCAACAAAUAAAACAAUCAUGUCUUUGUGAGAUGCACAUUUUCAGACGAAUCUGAAGAACAAUGAAACCAUAAAAACCUAAUAUGAGAACACUGAGGACUCCAGAUAUCAUCUAUAGAAUCUUUGGUCCACCCUUGCAUAAUGAAAAAAAAUUGAAGGCUUCGUCACCAACUCCCCAGGUUGUUUUGUUCUCCUAUCUCCUAAAUCUAAAGGAAAGGCAACCCGUUCAUUUUCCAAUCUUAAGGGGCACAGAACGACUCUGGUAUAAAAUAGUCAGUUUCUAUACAAAAAUAACUCCUUUGCACUUGGCAUUCCACAUCUCGAAAUAAAAAGCAUGCAAGGAGGAGAAUAUAAUAGCAUUAAACAAGUUUUAUUAACCAAACUUCAAAGAUGCCAGACAAGGCAAAAAAGGAAUCUGUACAAGCCAGAUCCCAAGAAUAAUAAUUCCAAUAUACAAUUCACGAAAACAAUAACUAAAACCAUGUUCAUCAGGCCUCAGCAGAAGCAACAUGUAAUAGCCAUACUCUAUUAUUUGAAACACAUUUCCAAGUUUGGAAAAGAUUCUAAACUAUUCUCGAUCUGUCAAUUAUUAACAUGUAAAACAUAAUAAUAUACGCUUAAACUACUACAGUAGUAAAACCAGUAAAACAACAAUACCUGCUAAAAAGAUUUGCUACCUCUUCACAUUCGCGAGCAUUGUAGAACCAAAUCCCAUUUACUUCUUGGGAUGCAUUUCGAUAUAACAAAUACGGAACCUGAACUUCAAACUCAAAAUCUCCCAAAAGAUUUUUCACUAAAUUAUCUGCACAUAUCCAAGAUAUUGAAGCUUCUCAGUGCAAAAACAUAUGCAAAAAGACAUGAAGGUUAGGAGACAUAACUAAAACUUAGCAACAACUGAUAAGCACAACAAGAAAUGAAAUAUAACACGAGUUGUAAACAAGAUAGACGCACGGUAUCUAAAUAAUUGUACCAACCCCCUCUCCUGAUUGUCAUAAAACGGCCAAUAUUUAACGCUAGACAACAACAUGGCAAAUACUCUAGCCUCUAUAUUAUUGGCAUAUAAAUAUUUUCGGUUGGGUACAUUAUAUUCUUCGUUCUAAAACCUCAAUCAUUAGCUAGUACUGUGAUAAAAUGAUUCAUCACUGAAAUUAAAACUAGUUCACGUACAAAUAAUCAAAACUGAAAUAGAAACAAGGACAAACCAACCCGUAUUACGUCGAUUCAUUACAACAAACUGAAAUCGAGGCUGUGUGUUCCUGAAAAUUGAAAAAAUAAUAAUUUCACCAACUUCAUAUGUAAUACAAUCUCCAAAACAACGAAUAUCAAAUGAAAAAAUGGAAAGCAUAAGAGAGAAAAGAAUCUAAUUUUAUUGACCUUUUGACGACGAAGAGAGAUCCUUCAACAUCCUUAUGACUCCAUUGGCUGAGGUCGAUGUUGAACUCGUAGAAGGUGACAUGAGCGGCCGUGAUGAGGAUCUCCUCAAUGAAUGGAUCGAUUCGCUGAAGAACUGUCAGGUUUAGGAGUUUUGUGCUCUGCUGGUCCAGAUUAGCCAUUAAUUUUCCGUUCUGCGACAUUUUUCAUAGUCCUUUUGGGCUCUGCCCCGAGCACAAGCGCCAUGGUUUUUCUGUGAGCUCUCUCUUUUGUAAAUAAAGUGUUUGAUGAGAUAGCCGAGAGAGAGUGAAAGAGUUGAGACUCGAGAUUGAUCUUGCUUUAACUUCUUUCAAACAUUUGGGAAAUAGCAUUUAGACCCCAAAAUUAGAUUUAUUAUAAUCAUUUUUUACCCGUACACUAUUAAUCCCUUUUAUUUUUUAAAUUGUCAAUAUUAAUGUAUUAGAAUAAUGUUAGAAAUCCCAAUUAUUAUCUCAAUGUUUCAAUCAUAACUAAUGUGAUAACUCAUCGGUGACUGUAACAUUAACCUAAUUAUUAAUGUUUAUCAUGAAAUGAUGAGAUUAUUAUUCAAGAAAAACUUAGUAAACAUCAAUGACUAAUAUAAUAUGACAAUUACAGCUGAAUAUUAGUACAAUAAUUAGGAUCCCUAAAGUUAGUGAAUGUAUUAUAAUAUAUGUGUGUUACACUAUUUUAUGUCUCUCAAAUUCAAUUAAGUAAUUUCAGAGACCUAACCUUUUAUUACAUUAAAUUAAGAAUGUAUACAUGAACAAAAGAUGUGCAGUUUUUGUUUUAUUUUUCACUAUUAUUUGCCAUUCAUCUACGUACGUCACUUGAUUUUUUGCGAUUAAUAUGCUUAAAUGGAUCUCUUUGAUAUAAAUAAAAUAAACGAAAAGUCUAAGAGAAAAAAAAAAUGAGGACCGAAAUUAUUACACCUACAACAAAUUUGCCCAGAGAGCAAUAAAUCAAACUUGCUUAGGAAGUUCAACAAUGAUUAGUUAAUAACUAAAAGAGCCUUCACCUAACAUGUUAAAGCUUCCGUCAAGCACAAACCCAUUGAAAGCUGUUUAGGUCCGUUUUCGAUCAUCGGAAAUUUGACAAAAUCAUAAAAACCCUCAUCUUAGAAAUUCCAAGCAUCAGGCAAUAGUCCGACUUUAUUGAUAUUGAGAGUAACACAAUAAAAGUUUCGUACAGAUUUUGCAAACGAAAAGCACAUAAUACACUUAACUAGGUGGAAAAAUUAAAGUGUAUGUAUUACAAACUGCUAACAAUAUACAAUAGUAAAAAUCACUCUUAUGAACUCACAAAUACUAGGCACCAAUAAGAGUAUGAUACAGCCAUUCUAAAUGAAAGAGAAUACAACUGUUUUACAACUAUGUCACAUCAAGAGAUAUGUUAGCAGGAUUAAUCCAGAUACCUAGGGAUGGCAACUGGAUCGCUCUAUAAUGGAUAUCCACAAUAUCCAUCCAAUUGGAUCGGAUAAUAUCCAUCCAAAAAUUUUUAGAUUUUGAAAUGGAUAUUUUAAAAUUAUAUCCAAAUGGAUAUGGAUGGAUAUAGAUAAUUAUUUUUACCCAAUGGAUAUCUAUUUAACCCAACACAAGUUUAAAAAAUUUUAAUUUUAUAAAAUAAAAAAUAAAAAAUAUAAUAAACAAACAAUUGUAAAAAUAUUAUAUUAACUAGUGAAAAUUUUAAAUUCAUCUUAUAUUAAAAACUAAAGUUUUCAAAAUUAUCCUUUAAUUUUUUAACUUAUUUAAUAUUAUUAAAAAUUAUUAUUUUAUUUUAUUAAUUUAAUAUUAUAAAUGGACAUCCACCGGAAAGUCACCGGACCUCCUCCGGAAUUCACCGGAAAGUUGCCGGACCACCGUCGACUUCGCCGGAAUUCGCUGGAAAGUUGCCGGACCACCGCCACCAACCACCAGACCGCCAUUUUAUAUAUAUAUAUAUAUAUAUAUAUAUAUAUAUAUAUAUAUAUAUAUAUAUAUAUUAUUACUAAUAUAAAUAGUUUAAUAACCAAAUUUAAUAUUGGAAUUUUAAUUAUUUUAUAUUAUUAUUUUUAUAUAAUAAAAAUAAAAUAUCCAUAGAUAUUCAUGGGUCUCCAUAGUUAUAUGGAUAAAAUCUAUAUCCAUGUCCAAUAUUAAAUACUGGAUAUGGAUAUAGAUAUAUCCAUUAUCGAUAAUUAUGGAUUUGUGUUUGGAUGGAUAAUAUCCAUCCAUAAUUGAAUAUUUGCCAUCCCUACAUAUACCUUUGAACCCAAUUAACCAACUCGAGUCAGAAACCAGGGGCCCCCAACUGAACCUUACAAUCUUGAAGGAAGAAGGAGACUUGUGGUCCAGAUAGGAGACUUACUAGAUCUCCUGCAAAAGAGAAUAUCUAUUGCUUUGAACCUCCAUUGAAAUUUCUUUUUCUCUUUUUCUUGUUUUAACUUGGAACUUUCCAGCAUCAUCUAUUUGAUCUUUUUUGAAGGUAAAAUAGCAAUCUAUAGGUUGCCAACAUGUUAUUCUGCCAAACCCCACCCCCCGGGGGACAACAAAUAGUGCCUACUCAACUUAUGUUUUCCAAUGGACGACAAUAUGCAAAUCGACCCAGUAGCCACAUUUUUCCUCCCUUUCAACCACCGUUAGGCAACUUUUCUAACCUUCCUUCAUUGCCCACACGUACAGAACUAUAAUAAAAAGACUACAUUAUUAUUGGGGUAGAGAAAAUAUGCAGACUAUAUUAUUAUUACAUCACAUUUUACUAAUUAACUAGUGCACGACUUAUUUAGUGUCAAAUCAAGAACUAAUUAGAAAAGACAACUCUUGAUAAUACAGACCUUAACAAGCAAUAGCUAACAACAUCCCAUAUACUCUUAUUUUAGCCUUCACUAUCCUGGUAAAAACACAAAUAAGUCUUGCAAACGAACAUUUAUAAGUAAAUUCAACAUUAAUUAAGAUUAGGUAUCUACUGCACCUUCAAUCAAUGACUGGGUGAAUAGCAUGGUCAACCAUCUAGUUCCUGUAGCCUUCCAUGUACCUAUGUUAGUUACAUUUUAUAUAUUAAGCCAUGAAAAUGAAGAACUCUUCCAUUUCAAACAGUGUUAGAAGAUAUUUGCAAAGCCUAAAGAUAACAUACGAGGACCAAGAUAUACACAGAUAGUUUCUUUACGGGACUAAAGAGCUUUUUUAGAUGUUAAAACUGUUUCAAACUCUUUUUCUUGUUUGGUUUAACUAAGGAAGAGCUUGUGGAAGAUUAAAAAUGAUGUUUCCUGUUCUCUGUAGGAAGCUUUUAGGAGAUUUUUUGGGUUUUUUUGAAAGGUUGAAUUGUCAAAAAUACCUUGAUGUUAUUGUUUGCUAAAAGAUGUUAUGGACAACUAAACAACCAACAACAUUUUGUUAAAAGCUCUACUAGUGUAGGAUCUACUUAAAGAAGCUAUACCAAACAGAUUCUUAGACUAAAUAACUCGAUCUUAAGUUUGUAAAAUUGGGCUCAGAAUCUCCACUAACAACCCCGCUUCGGUGAGAAAGCCCAAGCCUGUUACUUUGUAUAACCUUAUUCUGUAUGUUUGAUUGCAGGAACUGGCCGAUCAUACCGACGAGGUGAGUGUGCAACAUGAGGUGCUUGACGGGAUGUUUACUUUCUAUGAUACAACUAAAGCUAGCCUCAACAUAUAUCAGGUGCCUGCUUGUUUUUACCUUCUAGAUACUAAUAUUGUUUAGACGUGUAAUCUCUCUCUCCAUUGAACGCUAGACGGCUCGUCUCAAGCCUUCUACGUACAUCAGAGUCCUUCUUUAGCUUUUUAUGUAUAAAGUUUUGAUCUUUUUCCUUCAUUUGCUUGAAGCUCAUUACUGCAGAUUUUUUUUACAGGUUGCUAGUGUAACAUUCGACUUGCUGUUGCUUCUAGUGUUGGGAUCGUAUUUAAUUGUGCUUUUCAGCUUUCUUGUCACAACAACUUGGGUAUUACUCUUUCUCCAUAUCAAGCUUGAAGUUCUAAAUUUCAGUUUUAUCUUUUAUUUGAUGUUUUAUAAUUUCAUUGCAAACAGAUUAGAAUAGAAACUUCAAAAGUUCCAACUGACUAGUCCCGUGUAACUUUUUCAGGGAAUAUUUUCUCUCAUAACAACUACGAAUGUGUUAUGGUUUAGCUCAGUGACACAAAGGAUAGAAAAUCUAAGAUGCGAAAAAUUUUUGUUGAGAUUCAUUUUUCAUCCUGAUGUUACAGCUGGCCUUUUUUUUUUUUUUUGGCAGAGAAUAAUGCUUGUGUGAUUUCUGAACUUGGUGAUUGUUGAAAUGAGCUGAAAAUGAGCUGGAAAUGUGUUUGGUUAAUGAGAAAGAGAGCAAGAAAAUGAAAGAAAUCUAUUUCACUUUUUAUUUAUCAGCAUGAUUACAUUCACAAUAAAUCUAAGCUGCUAUUUAUACUUAAAUGAAUACACACGAGAAUCUUCUUGCUAGAUACUUCUAGAAACUCUACACGCACACUCACAUUGAGCUAGUGGUUACUAAAACCGUUACAACGAUAUUGCCAGCUCAGCAUAACCAACUUAUAACUAACACACUCAGCUGCAGGGGAAACCAUCAAGCUUACUGUGCAUCCUCUGUACUCAAGCUUCUUUAAGCAUGCUCUGCAGAUCAUACUCAAGCUUUUUUUUUCAUAGAAGUUGCAAUCUUUACGUUAUAUACUAGUUUGACUAGGCUAUAUAAGGAAGCUAUAUGAAAUUAGAAAAAUAAGCUAUACUAGGAAAGAAUAAAUAUAUGUACAGAAAAUUAGGCUAUAAUCUCUGACUUUAAACAAAUUUAAUAUCAAUUUUCUUCUGGAAGUUGUCUCGCAUGGGGCGCAUCAGUAUUGUAACGUCUGAUGGGUCUUACAUUAUCCACAAAAAUAACUCGUCCAUCUAGUACCUGCAAGUACAUACUCUGAGAUGCUUAAACUCAACAAUAUAAGCAUGGAAAAUUAGAGAAAAAUGAUGCAAUUUUACCUUCCCAUUCAUGUCUGCCGAGGCUUUUUGGGCUUCCUCUUCUGUACUGAAAGUCACAUAUCCGUAACCUUUUGAUCUAUUCUUACCUUUAUCCAUUAUUAUUGUAGCUGCAAACAGAAAAGAAUCGGAUAUUACAAAAUAGUGAAGAGGGAAGAGGGGUUGAGACUUAAAACAGAAAUAGACCAAACCCUCAGUGACGUGGCCAAAUUGUGAAAAAGCAUCAGCUAACAUUUCUUUAGUGGUUGAGAAAGAUACGCCUGCAAAGGAUGCCAGUUAAUUUUAUCAUAAUUUUAGAUGGUAAGAUUGCAAAUUCUGCAGCCAAAGGUAGUACGGAACUGAAUGAAGGAAAUCAAAUAUGAAUAUGUUUUCAAUCUCAGAAUAUUAAGAGUAGCAUAAGUAACUUGUGAAACAGUUACAAGUUCAACGGAAUUAACUGAUGGCAUGGUUGAAUUUUGUAAAUAUUUGAUAUUUUGAACCGAACACGGCAAACAGAUGGAUCCAGAUAAUCAAGAAAAACAUCAAUUCCAUGCAACCAAAUUAGUGUGGGCAAUGCAAUUGAGCAACACUAUAAAAUUAUUCAAAGAAAUCUCUAGGUCAGUAUCCAAAUAUAUUUCUGAAAAUGUUUUUUUCUCAUUAGCGCCGCCAUUUUUGUAAUAGAGGGUAAAGAAAUAAGUAACAAAGUAAGAGGUGAGCAGAAGCGGCCCAAUUUAGCUAUAUGCCAUGCAUGCGAUCAAAAUUGAACGGUUAAAUGGCAGCCACUAUGUUACAUCUUGUGUAAGUAACAAACCGCCUACAUGGAUCGUUGGAUUUGGGAAUAUGAAAUCCAAUGGAUAAUAUUGAAUUUAACGAAAAAUAGAUUACAGGUUGCAUUAGUCCAAGUUUAUUUCAAACAAACCAGCUGACGAAAUAGCCGCUAAUCAAAUUUAAAAGGGAAAAAAAAAUCAAAUUAUAGGUUAUAGAUCUUAUUUCCAUCUUAAAUCUAUGUCUUUCGUGGUGACUCAAUUUGUAAACUAAUUUAUAAUUUGGAUCUAUAUUAGAGCUAAUGCUUCCCUAAAUAACUAAGAAAAUUUUCUUUUCAUUGAUUAAAUAUUUAUUUCCAAUAUCUUGUAUAUGUAGGAUUUGAAAAGAGGGAAAAUAGUAGGGAUGAUAAUGAGAGAAGAUAGAGAUGUCGAUUCUCAAAUCUAAUAUUAGUGCUAUACUUAUAUUCCUAUACUAAAUAAAUUAUCCAAGGUUCGUGCUUAACGAUACGUUGCAAAAUUUUAAUUUCUAUUUAAAGCUCUGUCUAAUAUGGCUUUUCAUAAAGCUUAGAGAAAAGUAGAGCUUUUACCAAAAAAAAAUUAAUUAGAAUUGUCAAUGAUAAAUUUUAAAAAGUACUUUAAUAAAUAAGCUUUUAAAGUUAUAUAUAUUAUGAAAGAAAUGAAAUAAGAUUAUAUAAUAAAUUAAGAGUAUCUUAGAUAAUUGAACUUUAAAAAAAAAACUCGCUAAGAGGUUUAAAAUUUGAGUUUUAAUAGUGGAUACAAAAUAGUUUAUUUAAUUCUCAAAAGCUCUACUCAAAAUAGUUUAUUUAAUUCUCAAAAAAUAUUUUUUUCAUUGAGUAAAUAAUACUAAACAUGCACUAAAGUGUUAGGACCAGAAGUUGUACAAAAAAUGAUGGCUACAACUUAAAUUAUGAAUGGAGUAAUCGGAGAAUAUUGAAACCCGUUUAAUUUGGAUCGUGCAUUGAGGGACGAAAGGAUAAAAAAUUUAAUUUUGAAAUUGCUGUUGGGUACGGUACAAUGACUUACCGUUGACAGCUUUUGCAACCGGAUUACAAUCGGUUAGUUCAAUAAUUUUAUAUCCCCAUUUAACCGCCACGUGCUGCUGUUACAUGGGUCAAUUAGUCAUGUCAUUACUGUUACUUACAGAUGCCGUAACAUAACCGGACCCUGGUUAAAUUCUGUUGUUUCCAAUAAUUUUAUGCUGUAUCUUCUUUAAUAAUAAAGAAAACUUGCAUUAAAAUUAAAAUUAGGGUAAUACCUGAUUUUAUAAAUAGAUUGCAAUGUAAUUUUGAAAAAUAAAACAAUAAUUUACAAAAUGUUUAUAACAUAAUUUUAAUUUUUUUUCAAAAAGGAAAAAGAACAAAAGUAAGAAAUAGAGAAUUAGGGCUACAAACUUUGUAUCUUAAACGGCCGUUAGAUUAUUUGUAAAUGAAAGCAACGGUCAGAUAUUGGUGGAUUAUGGAAACAUGUAAUCAUAAGGACUGUGAGUUUUUUUUGUUACAUUAAUAUAUUACAAUCAAAUUCUAUUAGUAUUUACAACUAGAAUUUCAUUUGACUAUCUUUGAUAAUUCUAAACUAGUACAACCCAAAUUCUUAUUCUCACAUAAUAUCAAAGAGAGAUAUAUAUUCUUCUCCUCUAUUAAUAAAGAGACAUUUUUAUUUCCUUUUAAUAGUUAGGACUCAGAACUCAUACACGCUAGUUUGAGAGUGUUGGGUGUGACAAUGAGCCAGGAGACCAUUGACAAGUACAAAAGAGUGGUAGAAAUUAAUUCAAUCCGCUACACACGCUAUUGCAACCAAAUUGAGGGCCCAUUUUUGUUUAUUUGGUUGAAAAAUAGUUUGCAUAAUUAAUUCAAACCGCUACACACGCUAUUGCAACCAAAUUGAGGGCCCAUUUUUGUUUAUUUCGUUGAAAAGCAGUUUGCACAAUUAAUUCAAACCGCUACACACGCUAUUGCAUCUUUUGAAAAAGAAAAACAGAAUAGUUUUCUAAAAUUAAUUCCGAGAAGAAGAUUAACUAAUAAUGAUGUUAGAAAUUUUAAUAUUUGAGUCUUAAUAUUAUGUAUCACUCAUUUAUUAAAUAAUAGAUUUCAUAAUUUAUAAAAUUACUUAACCACUUGAUAAAUGUUAUAUUUGUUGGGACUAAAUUGGGACUUAAAUGUUGGAAUAUCUAGUAUUGCAUUAAAAAAUAAAUAAAAACAUAACAAUUUAUCUUCACUUGACUAAUUGUUUUUACAUCACAACUAACCUUAAUUAUUUUGAAAGUUACAGUAUUAUUAAAUUGUCCUAACUGGUUAUCAAAAGUUGAAGCAUGUUAAAAUAAAAAAAAUUACCAAGAAACAUGUGCUUAAACAGAGGUUAAGGCUAUGAACAAUUAAGAAGAAACUCUUAAUUUGGUCCCAGUUAGUAUAAUAAUCAUCUAUUGAGCGGUAAAAUAUUAAUUUUAAUAGUGAUGAAAUCCAAUAUAUAAUAGAUUAAUAACACACAUAAAUUAAAACUUAACUGUCAGAAAUCAUAACAUUACUCUACUCUUCAGUAGAGUUCUCUUAACAGAUUAUGUGAGAUUGCCUACAUUAAAAAUAGGUUAAGACUGCUUGUUGAAAGCAAUAUUCGCUUUUUCAUUAUAUCCAUAACUUUGUUGGGUCCCUCUAUGGUGCCGUAAUUUUUUUUACGGUAUUAAUAGUGUAACAAAUUUGUACCAUUAGAUAUAAUCAACGGUACACAUUAUUUUUAAUAAUGAAAAUAUUUAAUUAUUUCACAAAUGUUAUAACCGGUUAACAAACCGGUUGCAAAACCUAUUUUAAAUUUAAAAGGAAAGAAAAUAGAGAUAUAAUAAAACUCAAUCUCCUUCUUUAUCUCAUAAAAUUCGUAAUCUGUUUAUCUCCUUUGUUGUUGUAUUGAAAUUGGAUUCCUCAAUGCUGUCUCAGUUCACAAAUGAUUAAUCGUGUCAAAUCGUAAGCUUGUUCUUAUCGUUCAACUUUUUCUCCAUUUAUUGCCACAUUUAUUUGAUAGGUAGGCUUUUAAAUUUAUUGCUCGAUGGUGACAUUAGACAAGGAAUCACAGAUUUGAUGUUCUUUGUUGUACUAAAUUCAUAUCAAAUCUUGCUUUGAUGCUAUAAUAUAUUUAGUUACUACCUUACAUUUUCUUUUUUCACAUUUGAAAACAAAUUCUUUUUAUUCAUAGGAUUACAUAAAGUGCGCAGCCCUGAAGUUUGAACUUCAAAGGAUAAAGUUGCAUUGCAGCAUGUUAAGCAGCAAAGCUUCUUCACUGCAUUAGAUAGAAGACGGUGAAUCAAGUGCAGCCAAGACUUGGCUGAGUCAGCAAUUAACCACCAAUCGUUUAAGAAAGAGGGGCAAAGCAAGUUGAGGCCCACUUAUUAAUCUUAGCCUCUGAUUCCAUUCUCCUUUUCUCCGUCCUGAUUUGAUUAUCUCCAGCAGUGACGCUAAAGGUUAAACUGGCAUGAUCUUGCCCACAUAUAAAUGUAUUUUUUUUUUUUAGGAUCUGAAGGGGCAAAUUUUUUUUUCAAGUUUGUUAUAUGAUCUUUUGUGAAGACCUGAAGAUACGAGAGUCAGAUUAAUAAUUUUGUCUCUCUUAGGCUUUAUGCAGUGGGAAUGAACUUUCUCUCUUUUAAUUCUCUGCCAUUUUCUCAAUGAAGGCAGCAAGAGAAUAUUCAGUCUUUCAAAGUCUCAACAUUCAUAAUUUGGCCAGUCUAGUUGUUUACCUUGCAUCUGCUGGAGUAUUAUAUCGCCAAGAGAUUUUUCCGUUGCACUUUACGAAUUUAUAUUAUUUUGAGGAGGGAAUUCAGCUAACUAUUAAUAUCAUACAAUUGAAAUUUAAAUGUCGGUCUUUAAAUUCUAAAGAUUAAAGACAAGCCUAAUAUGAAAAUACAGAUGUUAAAAUCUUCAUUUUUGUUUAUUGAUACUUUAUUUGUUAGUAUCAUAAUUUUAGAGAUAUAUUUGAUGUUACAUGAUUGACUAAAUAUUAACAUUAAAAUGCAGAUGGAAAGAAAAAAUGAUGGAGGGCUCCAUAAAAGCAUAAAAAGAAACGGAGAUGGUGAAGCAAACUUUCGAAAUUGCAACCAUGAGAAGGAAUUGACAAAGCUUAAUGAAAAAAUGGAUGGGAUGACAUUUAAUCUUGUCGCUGUCAGGCAUGAACUUGGUGAGCUGAAGAGGAACAAUUUAGAUACUUAUGCAUUGGUACAAAAAAUGUAUAGUGUAGUUGAAGCACUUGAACGUAAUAUAACUCAUAUGCAAUCACACGCAUGGAAGGAAAAGAUGAACUCUUCUAGUAAAGAUGUUCAAAAUAGUAAAAAUGAAUCAAGUGGUCAAAAUUUCGUGGAAAAGGGAGAUGAGUUUGGGGUGAAGAUCGCAGAGAUUAAGGACAAGAUUGAAGACGCAUGUGAUGAAAAUUUAUCAUUGAAAAACUUAUUUGUGUAUAGGAAACAAAAAGAGAACCAAAUCUUCCACAAUGUUGUUAAAAAGGUAUGAUAAUAAACUAUUAUUCUACAUUUUUUUUUCAAAAAUAUUUGUAUAGCACAUUCAUUAAACAAAAAAAUAAUAAUAAUAAAAUUCAUGUUCUUAUGCAUGUAGGAUAAAGCCAUGGAUGCAGUUGAUUUUGUGGAUUUGGUAUCAUCGGUGGAAGUAGAUGCAAUUGAGGAUAAAAAGGUGCGUCCUCGAAAGCCCAGUCGUUAUAAAAAAUCUCCUUAUGAAAAUUUUACAAAAAAAAAAGGCUAUCGCAAGAAGGAGUUCGAUUUAUCCAAACAUGGAGCUUCUUUUUCGGAGGAAGAAUGGUAUAUUUUACAGUAUAUUUUUCAUGAACAACUAGAUAAAAGGUAUGGAACUAUUUAAAUAUAAUCAUAUUUUAUAUGUUUGUAUUUUGAUGUUAUUAUUUGUUUUAAUUAACUAUUAAUGUGAGUGUAUAACUUAUGCAGAGAGAAAAUUGUAAUGACAAAACGACAUAUUGUUACCCGCUUCUUAAUGUCUUCUUUAGCUCCUAAUGUUUGGAUAUUUGAUGAGGUAUAUUGUGUUAGUGUGUGUGUCUAAUAUUCAGAGCGUAAUAAGAUUAUAUGUAUUUAAUUUAUAAUUUAUUUUUCAUUUGGUAGUGCAUGUUUUAAUAAUAAUGUUGUGAUGAUUUUAUUCAUAGAUCAUAAGUUGCUAUGCUGAGUAUUUAACUAGAAAGGAGAGUUUGAAGCAAGAUAAUGAGACUCGAAAUUGGUUUUUACCAACUCUUUUUGGGGUAUGUUAUAAAUUUUUGUUGUUACAAAUAUAUAAUAUGCUUUUACAAAAAAAUUAGAAUUUUUUUAAAAUUAUAUCUUACCAUCUUCAUAUAAUUAUUAAUUUAUGAAUGUUGUAGCAAAUAGUGGCGAAUGUGUCAGGUGUUUCAACUAUUGAUAGAUCAGAGAUUGAAAUUUCGGUUCGUAAACAUAACAUUUGUGAAUUUUACAUGGGUGCACUCAAAAGAUGUGAAAAGGUCAGGAAUAUUAUCAUAUGUUCAAAAAACAAAAAAAUUUAUUUACUCAAAUAUCAUAUGUUUUAUUAUUAUCAUUUGAAGGGAGUAAUGAUUAAUACAAAAUUAGUGUAUUGUUGCACAGAUAUAUGUUCCUCUUUAUGACGGGCUUGCAAAACAUUGGUAUCUUGUAAUAAUGAAUAUAAAAGAUAAGACUGCUGAGAUUUGGGAUUCUUUGCCUAAUUCUGAAAUAGAACCAAAUCAUCGUCAAGAAAUCGUUAAGCAAAAUGUAAGUUCAAAUUUUUUAUUUGUUUAUAUGAAAUUACUAGAUGCAAUAUAUAUUAACUAUCAUUAUUAUUAUGCAGUACAUGCAUUGGNNNNNNNNNNNNNNNNNNNNNNNNNNNNNNNNNNNNNNNNNNNNNNNNNNNNNNNNNNNNNNNNNNNNNNNNNNNNNNNNNNNNNNNNNNNNNNNNNNNNCCUAGUCUUGCUUCGUGAUAUAGCCUUUAACUUUCCUUCUGAUUGGGUAUUUCGUUGACUUUGACAUUUUAUAUCCAAAUAAUGUGCCAAUUCAACCAAAUGGAAAUGAUUGUGGCUUGUAUGUGAUGAAGUUUAUGGAGACUCCAUGUGAGAUGUUAUUCCCAACUUAUAAGGUAACUUAAUCAUACAAUUUAUAUUUCUUAGUUUGCACAAUACUUUAAUCAAUAUUAAAUUGUUAUUAAUUCUAUUAUAUGCAGUAUGAAUCGGAUGAAGAAAGAUUUCGUCUUGCGCUACUCCUUGUAAAUGGUGAUGCAAAUGAAGUAAGAGAUAGUGUUAUACAAAAAGCACUAUCAUUCCGUGGUCCUAAGACGAAUGUUAUUGCAACUAGUAAAGUUAGAACUAAAGUUGCUUCUCAAAAAAAACAUCGUUCAAUUAAUAAAGUUAGAACUGUAAUUGGUACUGGAGAAUAUUUGAAGAAACCAGGAAGAAAAUCCAAUUGAUCUGCCUAGUAGAGGUUUAAUAAAUUUGGUAUUGGACGUAAUUUGUAUUUUGUCACUUUUAAUUUUUUUGUCCCCUCAAUUGAAUUUUAUAUUCAAUGUAAAGUUUUUAUUUGGAUUACUUAAUUUUCUUUUUUAGUUUUUAAGUUUUUGGAUUACUCUUUAUGAAAAUUUUGUGUCUUGUUACUUUCAAUUUUUUUUGUCCCCUUUAAUUGACCUUUGUAUUCGAUGUAAAGUUUUUAUUUGGAUUACUCAUUAAGUUUUGUUAGCUUUUGAGUUUAUGGUCUCUUCCAAUUAAAAACUUUCAAAAAAUAAUAGCCUGCUUUUUUUUUUUUUGUGUGUGUUUUAAGUUCAGCCUACAAGUGAAUGACUGUAAGUCGUUAACUAAAAAUCUAAAAAUGUCAAAUGUCAAAUAUUCUUCCGCUUCUCAUCACCUUCUUUUCCAACCUAUAAUAUGCCAAACAAAAAUGCAUCAAUAAAAAUAAAUUUAGAUAACAGCUAAAAUAUUCAACCUUUGUAAGAAUUAUCCUAAUAUAAAUAUACCUCAUUAAGUACUGGACAUUUGCGUCUAUUGUGUCCAGGUAAUUUGCAAUACCCACAUUUUUUCAAAUUGACGCCUUUAUUAAAUCUUGCACUAGGAGCACCUUUCGUCUUCACACUUAAUGGAUCUUUUAUAAUAGCAACAUUUCUCUUCUCACUGGACCAUCUACCUCUUUUCUCUUCAAAAUUCCCACUCAACUCUAACAUUUCAGACUUAAGUUGUGUGAUAAGACCCUUUAAUUUCAAGUAUCCAGCAUCUGUCAUCGAGGCAUAGAAAAAUGUGUCUAGUUACAGAAGAAAUUUACAGAAUCAAAUUUUGACUUCGCUUCUUAAAGAUAUUCACGAUUUAGUGCACAAAGGUCACAACCGUCUAGAAACCACACAAGAUCCGAUGUUUCUGAAUUAACUGAUAUCAAUUAACAAGGAAUAAAAUUAAAAACUAUAUAUCUAUAGAAAGAUUUAUUUUUCAGGAGUUCAAAUAAUUUUACGGUUUUCUAUUUGAAGUUUUCUACAUGAAGAUAUGGCUUAAAGAAUGCUGACUGCUCAAAAUCACUGAAGCAACCAAGUCUAUGAUUAUCAGAAAACUUGCAUGAUUAAACUGUACUGAUCUAGAAUAUAUGAGAUUGCAUACUAUAUAUUUUUUGAUAGAUAAAUAUGUCUAGUUACAGAAGAAAUUUACAGAAUCAAUUUUCGACUUCGCUUCUUAAAGAUAUUCACGAUUUAGUGCACAAAGGUCACAACCGUCUAGAAACCACACAAGAUCCGAUGUUUCUGAAUUAACUGAUAUCAAUUAACAAGGAAUAAAAUUACAAACUAUAUAUCUAUAGAAAGAUUUAUUUUUCAGGAGUUCAAAUAAUUUUACGGUUUUCUAUUUGAAGUUGUCUACAUGAUGGCUGAUGUGUUUCAGCAGAUAUUACAAGAGGAAAUAUAUCUUCUCCCAGUGAUGGUUUUGAGAGAUCGUCCAACUCAUAGAAGCCUAAGUCGAUGCCUGUUCCCGAAGGCUGACGAAACUUCUGACCCAAUCCUUUCUUAAAGGGAAUUUUUGCCGGCAUAUAAGCUUCAGGAAACAGUGGAACAAACUUACAGUUGGGCUCUUCCUUGGCAAAGUAGAAAACAGUGAUGCUGCAGAUAAGAAAAGAAAAUAAAGAGAUAUGGCUUAAAGAAUGCUGACUGCUCAGAAUCACCAAAGCAACCAAGCCUCUGAUUAUCAGCCAAAUUCCAUGAUUUAACUGUAUUGAUCUAGAAUAUAUGACAUUACAUAAUAUAUAUGUUUGGAUAGAUGAAUGUAUCUAGUUGUGGAAGAAAUUUACAGAAUCAAGAUAGACUAAUAAUAACUUAAUAUUAACAAAAUUUUUAUUGUACAUGUUAUUUUAUCAAUUAUAUUUAUUGUAACACUUUAUUUGUAUCAUAUGAUUUUUAUUUGUUAUUUUUAUCCUAUUACUAUAUUUAUAUUUAUUUAGAUUGAUUUAGUCAAAAGGUAUAAUAGUCAUUUAGGAAAUUAAGAGGGUCUAUGUGACUAUUUAUGAAACUAAAGGAACAUGUAUAAUUAUUUUAGCAAAUCUUAGGGGUGUGGGUGGUUUUUUCCGAAAUUAAUAUUGAUUUAAAAUUAAAAAAUUAAUAUUUACCUGUAACCUGUAAGUUACCUGCUCUAUUUUAAUUAAUUAUCUAAUUAUCUAUUAUAUUAAAUGAAUGAUUCAGAUUAAAACUCUUAUAUCUAAGGGUCCACAUUAGUUCCACUAUCAAUACUGUAAAAAUAAAUACAGCAUCAUAAAGAAAUCCAACUUUGAAUUGAUAAAGUUGUAUUCAACAGCUCUUGAAAAGACUAAGCUGGUCUUCUUUGCAUUUGAUCACUGGUAUUUCAGUUAAGUUUGUCGUUUACUUAAAUUUUUCUUGCUUUCAAUUUCCACUGUUGUUUUUUUUUUAAUAAAAUAAUUUGUUUAACUAGUCAUAGAAAUAAGAGAGAAAAUGGGCCAUUUCUUGACUCAAAGUCAAUUAUAAUUAUCAAAACUUGAGCGGACAUUGCAUGCCUAAAUUCCACGCACCCUAAAACGGUUUGAUUUGCUUUCACGCGUUCAUGAUUUUGCAUGAAAGAGAGUGCCUCUCGUCUCUUUCCGGACAGUGACUACAGUCAUGGAAAAAUUAUGUUAACGUGACGAAUACAAAACGUUAUUACAUACAAGAAUAAGUUUUUGGACCCGAGACUUGAGGGAGGUUCUAUCUAAUUCUAAAGAUUGUAACCAAAGCAUUAUCCCCAAUUUUUUUAAGUUAAAUAAAAUAAAAUUUAUGCUUAAGUAUAAAUAAUUUUUUAAAGUUAAAUAUAAAAUAAAAUUCAUGAACUUCCAAGAAAGAAAGAAGACCCUUCACCUUCUUCGUGACAACAAAUGAUGUUGAUAUGACAAAUACAAGCGCUAGUACAGGGAACAGCAUAAGACCGAGACUUGAUAAAUAUUAAAUAUAUAAAAUAAGUGGAGCAAACGAACAGAAUAAUAGAUUUUUAUAAUAUUCUUCAUAAAAAUCCAAGUUUUGAGCUGGCCCAUAAGCUUAUCUAGUGAAGUCUGGGUAUCCGCGUUGCCCAAGGUUCCGUUUGAAUUCAGGCUGUGCUGAUAUUUAUGACAUCCGACGGAGAGGAAAUAUUUUCAGUUGACUAAAUUAAAUAAAAGUAUAUUAUAAUCAUAUUAUAUAUUAGCAACAAAAAUAAAAAGAAAUGAAGAAAAACGCAUGCAAGACUUAGAGAAGUCAAUUAAAAGAUGGGAGUAUCAUCAGUUCAAUUGGUUAUAAAUAGCGUAGAGCCAUCCUCUCGUUGUUGCAGAAGAGAGACAGAAAGAGUGUGUGUAGGUGAUUAUAAUUAAGAAGAUAUAAUGUGUGGUUCAAAAAGAGUGUGGGUGAGUGAGUUAAUACUCAUAUUAUUAGUAGUAAAAGGGUGGUGGAGUGAGGGAUGUUUGGAGCAAGAGAGGUCUGCUCUCCUCCAACUCAGACAUUUCUUCAAUGAUGAUCAACGUCUUCAAAACUGGGUAGACGAUGAGAAUAAUUUAGAUUGUUGUCAGUGGGAAGGGAUUGAGUGCAACAACACCACUGGCAGUGUGAUUAAAUUAGAUCUAGCACAAACUCGAAAAUGGGAAUCAGCGAAGUGGUAUAUGAAUGCCUCUCUGUUUACUCCCUUUCAACAAUUAGAGUCUCUUGAUCUAAUUGGGAACAAUAUAGCUGAUUGUGUUAAAAACGAAGGUCAUUAAUUUACUCUAUUUUAAUUCUUCCUCCUCGUAAUUUCUUACAUCUAUCUGAUCCCUUUUGGCUUUUGUUUAAUUUGUACGUGAUACAAUAAAAUUAUUUUUUUUCAGGUUUGGAGAGGUUAUCAAGGUUGAACAACUUGAAGUUUCUUUUUUUAGAUGAUAACUACUUCAACAACAGCAUCUUUUCAUCUCUAGGUGGUCUUUCAUCACUCAGACACUUAUCAUUGGCUGUUAAUAGAUUGAAUGGAAGUGAUGAUAUUAAAGGUAAGUAAGCUUCAUCCCUUCUCCCGUGUCCCAUCUUUGUGGAUCUUAUUUCAUCGACCAGCUGGAAGUAUUGAUACGAGAUCUAGCUAGACUCUUGCUAGUUUAAGCUUCAAGGCUUUGAAUAUUAUAAAAAUAGGUUUAAGGAAUUAUCAAUAUAUGCAAUUUUCUAUGCUUCUCAUAAUCAGACACAAUUCAAUCUAAUUAUUUCGUAUGUCCUCUCUUCAAAAGUAAAGAAUUGUACACUAAACGGAAAUCGACAUUGUAGCUUUUUAUUUUUUCUAAUGCUCUUUCUUUGUUAACGAGUUUAUAUCCUGAGAGUGCAUUGGAUUCAAAAAAAAAAAAGUUUUGAUGUUCAAGGUAAGCCAUAAUAACAUGCAUCUUAUUUAUCUGUCUAUAUCUAAAUUUGUGCACUGAAUUUAGUAUUUUAGUUAGUGUGAAGGGAUCAGAUAUUGGCUUCCAUAAACCAACUUGUAUUUACUUAAUUAAUUAAUUAACACCAUUUAGUAUUUAACAAAUUAAAAUUUCGUGUUUAAUUUGUCUUAUUUUUUAUUUUUUGAAGCAAGAAUAAGGUAUAGCAGUAGGUAAAGUUGAAAUACAUAUUUAUUCCUUACAAAUUUAAAUUCGUUUUCAGCCAAAUAUACCUACUUAAAACCACUCAAUCAUGCCAUUGGCAACAGUUUUUUAGGUUUUUCUAGUUAACCGUGUACUUUUUUGCUUAUUAAUAAAAUUCUUUUGUGCUGAGAUUUAAAAUAAAGAAGGAGAAAAUAAGUUAUUUAAUUAACCUUGUUUUAAGUGUUGGCAUAAAUGCAGGACUGAAUUCCUUGAGUAACUUGGAGGAGCUGGACAUGACAGGCAAUGCAAUCGAAAAUCUUGUGGUUCCUAAAGGUAUACAAAAUGUUCAAAUAUUAAUAAUUUGGAGGACAGUUUAAUUGAUUUGAUUAGGGAAUGCCCAAAUGACACUUACCCAAAAUAAUUUAAUCCAAAAUUGUAUCCCAAACAGAUUUCAUAGGUUUGAGGAAGUUGAAUACCCUUAAUUUAGGGGGAAGCGAAAUUCGAAUGAUAGAUGGAAGCAAGGUGUUGCAAUCAAUAGGAUCACUACCGUCCCUCAAAACACUUUGCCUUUCAUAUACUAAUUUUACGGGAACAGUAGUUAAUCAAGGUAAGUAAAUCUUUUAUGUCGAAAAUAAUUGAAUUAAUAUAUAUAGCUAAAAUUUAUUGUUUCUACUUCUUUCUACAUAGAAUUGCACAAUUUCACCAACUUGGAAGAAUUGAUAUUGGGCAAAUCUGAUCUCCAUGUAAGCCAGCUUCUGCCAAGCAUCGCAUCAUUCACUUCGUUAAAGUAUUUGUCAAUGGGAGGUUGUAUACUCACAGGUGCCGUACAUGGUCAAGGUAAAUUAUGGGUAUCUGAAGCUUUUAAAUUUUUUCUUUUAAAUUUUUUAUAUUUUCACUGUCCAAUGGUUCUACCUUCUCUAAAUUGUAGGAUUCUUGAUUAAGGUUAAUGAAAUUUUUGUUCUGUUAUGUUAAGAAUAUUUCGAUCGCUUAGAAGAGUAAAGAAAAAUAAGUAAAUUAACCCAAAAAAAAAAGAAAAGAACAGGACCGGAUUAUCCUUAUUCCCUUGCAUUAUGUGAUCAAUAUCAAAAUUAUAACCAUUUCUUGUUUAUUGCUUGUAGAUUUUCGUAAAUUCAAGAAUUUGGAAAAUCUGGACAUGAAUCUGGUGUAUGUUGACGUCAACACCAGUUUUCUUCAAAUUGUCGGUGAAUCGAUGCCUUCUCUCAAGUUUUUAUCACUGACAGAUUCAAUUCUUAAUAAAAACACCAUUCUUGAUCAAGGUUAAUUAAUGAUUCUCCUUCUCCCUCUCUCGCAUCAUAACUAAAUUUAAUUGAGAAUAUCUAUAAUGCGAGCUAUUUAUAAACUUAAUGAAAGAUGAUAAGGAGCCAUAAUAAUGACAAAAAUAACUGUAAAAUAGUGCACUGUUGUAGUGUUGAUUGAAAAAUAAUGCUAAUUUUUUACUUAACAUUAUAACGCUGUAUAAUUUUACAGUUAUUUUGUUGCCAUUACGUCAGAUUAUACUGUUCAACUAUCAGUGAUCAAACUUAAUUUUUAAUGUGUACUUGAAAGAUAUGUAAUUAUUUAUCUAUGUGUACUGAAGGAUGAAUUAUAUAUUUUUCAGGACUUUGUCAGUUAGUGCAUCUGCAAGAGUUACACAUCGGCGGUAAUGAUUUGAGAGGUAGCUUGCCAUGGUGCUUGGCAAACAUGACAUCCCUUCAAGUGUUAGAUGCCUCUUCUAAUCAACUUACUGGAAACAUCUCCCCAGGCCUUUGUGAGUUGGUGUUUCUAAGAGAGUUAUCCAUUCAUAACAAUGAUUUAAGAGGUAGCUUGCCUUUGUGCAUGGCAAAUUUGACUUCCCUUCGAGUAUUAGAUGUCUCUUACAAUCAACUUACUGAAAACAUCUCAUCUUCCCUCAUGCAUCUAAUAUCUAUGGAAGAGCUCAUAAUUUCAAAUAAUCACUUCUUCCAAAUCCCUAUUUCACUUGAACCACUUUUCAAUCUCUCAAAACUCAAGACUUUCGAUGGUGAAAUAUGCGCAAAAACUGAGUCACAUUAUAAUUCUUUGACCCCAAAAUUCCAACUGACUUCUAUCUCACUAUCUGGUUACAUAGAUGGUGGCACAUUUCCCAAAUUCUUGUACCAUCAGCAUGACUUGAAGAAUGCUGAUCUCUCACACCUUAACUUGAGUGGAAAAUUUCCAAAUUGGUUGCUAGAAAACAAUACGAACUUAGAGACGCUUCUUCUUGCCAACAACUCUCUUUUUGGAUCAUUUCGGAUGCCAAUUCAUUCCCACCAGAAAUUGGCAAUAUUGAAUGUCUCCAACAAUUUCUUUCAAGGCCAUAUUCCGGUGGAAAUCGGAACAUAUCUGCCAGGUUUAACGGAUUUAAACUUAUCUAGAAAUGCUUUCAACAGUAGCAUUCCCUCUUCAUUUGCUGAUAUGAAAAUGUUGAAAAGGUUGGACAUAUCCUACAAUCAGUUGACUGGUGAAAUCCCUGAGCGCAUGGCCACGGGUUGCUUCUCAUUGGAAAUUCUUGCAUUGUCAAACAACAGUUUGCAAGGUCAUAUAUUCUCUAAAAAAUUUAACUUGACAAAUUUGAUGAGGUUGCAGUUGGAUGGUAAUAAAUUCAUUGGAGAGAUCCCAGAAAGCUUAUCUAAGUGCUAUUUGUUGGCAGGAUUGUAUCUGAGUGAUAAUCAUCUCUCUGGUGAGAUUCCAAGAUGGUUGGGUAAUUUGUCAAUUUUAGAAGAUAUUAUAAUGCCCAAUAACAAUCUGGAAGGACCAAUUCCAAUCGAGUUCUGUCAGCUUUAUUUUCUGACGAUUUUAGACCUUUCAAACAAUGCUAUUUUUGGAACCUUACCAUCUUGUUUUAGUCCAGCAUCUAUUGAACAAGUUCAUUUGUCAAAAAACAGGAUAGAAGGACGGUUGGAAAGUAUAAUCCAUGACAGCCCCAAUUUGGUGACAUUAGAUCUCAGUUAUAAUCGCUUACACGGAAGUAUUCCAAAUCGGAUUGAAAGACUACCUAAGUUAAACUACAUUCUUUUGGCUAAUAAUUAUAUUGAAGGCGAAAUACCAGUUCAAUUAUGCCAUUUGAAGGAAGUGCAGUUGAUUGAUCUUUCUCAUAAUAAUCUAUCUGGUCAUAUUCCUCCUUGCUUGGUUAACACUUCACUUAGUGAAGGUCAUCAUGAGGCAGUAGCUCCAACUUCUAGUUUGUUGGGUCAACUGCCUGCCUCACCUCCAUCUGAAUCUGAGGCUGCAAGUGGACCUCCGAUGGGAAAGGAAGAAACUGUACAGUUCACAACAAAGAAUAUGUCCUACUAUUAUCAAGGAAGAAUUUUGACGAGUAUGUCUGGGAUUGAUCUUUCUUGUAACAAACUGACAGGUGAGAUUCCUACUCAAAUUGGAUAUCUUACUAGGAUUCAUGCACUAAAUCUAUCUCAUAACAAUUUGACGGGCACAAUCCCGACAACAUUUUCAAACCUGAAGCAAAUCGAAAGCUUGGACCUCUCCUACAACCUACUGCAUGGGAAAAUCCCUUCUCAGCUCACUGUGCUAACUACAUUGGCGGUCUUCAGAGUAGCAUACAAUAACUUAUCAGGCAAAAUCCCAGAUAGAGUUGCACAAUUUUCAACAUUUGAGGAAGAUAGCUAUGAGGGGAAUCCUUUUCUUUGUGGAUGGCCACUGUCUAAAAGUUGCAAUGAUAGUGGAUUAUCAGCAGUGACACCAGAAGCUUACACUGAAAAUGAAGAAGGUGAUAGUUUAAUUGACAUGGACAGUUUCUUGAUCACUUUUACAGUAUCUUAUGGAAUUGUGAUAUUAGGAAUUAUCGGAGUUUUGUACGUAAACCCCUAUUGGCGGCGAAGAUGGUUUUACCUUGUUGAAGUGUGUAUGACCUCUUGCUACUAUUUUGUGGCAGACAAUCUUGUUCCUAGAAGAUUCUAUGGUGGAUGGAUGUAAUUUCAUUUACUUUACAACUUAUAUGUAAUUUUUAAAGAAUUUUCUUUUGCAUGCAUGGAAUAGCAACUCAAUAAAAGUAUUUGAUGCAAAUUGUCCAAGAACAACUUAGUAAUUUCAUUGCUACUAUUCGGUUGUAUAUAUACAGUUAAUGAAAUUUUUAAUCAUUCGCAGUAGGAAUUUCUUUAGAUGGCGGCCAAAACUAACAGAUUUGGGGCUCUACUUCUACACAUCAUAACAGGCAAAAGGUCUCUCUUUUACACGAUCUGAAUCAUUCAAUAGGUGUCUACUUCUACACAUCAUAACAGGCAAAAGGUCUCUACUUCUACGCCCCCUGGAGUUCUCCAUUAAACUUGACGGUUGAGAUUUCAGGUCCAGAUGAAAGUUAAAUGCAGGCGACGAGACUACACUUUAAGUAAACUGGGACAAACUUAAAAUAAAAAAAACUAUAGUCCAGGGUGAGAGUGAUGGGUAGCUCAACUUAUGGAGGAUAACUAGGACUUGGAAUAACUAUCAGAUUUGCAACUCUUGUAAUAUAUAGUGGGCAUUCAGGUAGCAAUUAUCGCCUUGGGAGUUACCGUAAUCGAUUCAUUUCCUCCUUCAUUUCUGAUGGUAACCCAGCUCUAUACAAGAACAAUAAGAGAAGGUUCCUUUAAGAAAUUUCACAACCCACAAUUUUUUUUUUUCCUUUUUGCCCUGUUCCUCACAAUAAACACACCUAACACACCAAGCCGUGCCCAAAAUAAUCCUAUUUUAUUCAUGUCAUGAAUCCAAAAACUAUCCCAGCUCACUUUGUUUAACCAGCAUAACUAAAUUGUGGGUAUAAAUGAACAGACUUUCGAAGCCUGUAACUUAUAAUAAGCUCAAACCCAAAAAUGACAUUUAAAUCCUGCAAGUGUUUUUCAUCAUCCCUAACAAAAAGAAACAAGAAUAAUUAUAUACCAAUAAUUUUUCCAUAAAAAAUACUGAUUUGAGUUGAAGCACUAUACAAACUGGGUUUUAUUACACUUGCAGAAAGCUACACGGUAGACAAAAUCUAGCAGCUACAUAUUGGUAUCACUUUCAGCUGGUCAUGAAUGGUGUGCAUUCAGCAGUGCACAAUAGACCAUGUCUAUGAAUUGAUUGUCCUAUUACAUAUAAAAGCUGGUCAGAUAUACAAGGAAAAAAAUAAUAAUUGAAAAUGCAUCACAAAAAAUAAGUGUUUCGCAUUAGUGUUUGCACUCUUAAGCAUGGCAAAGUGGUGCAGGGUUCAUGAUUUUGAAGACAAUGAUAAGUGAAAAAUAGUUCAAUCCAUUGAUGAACAUAAAUUUAUUUACAUGUCAAUUUAGAUACCAUCAAAAAGUAAACAGUAAUUCACAGUCACUUAAAAUAGUUGAUAAAAUGCGUGCCAUGAAUGCAUUUUUGUACAUAAGAAAUCCAAAGAGUAUUUCUGACAAUACAAAUAUGCUAGCUUUAAGUCUGCUGUCAAUAUGCAAUUAAGAAGAUUAUACCAGCUGCAUGAUAAAGUUCCCCUAAUCUUAAUAACAAUAAACAUGAACAUGUCAGAUGCAAUUCUAGCUUCGACCAUUUGCAUAACCAGAAAUCCUAACCUGAACAAGCACCAGAAGUGCCUCUCGGACUUUCUCCUUGCUGAUAAAUGGUCCACUGUUCCAAGUAAGAGCAGGAGUAAGAGAUGGUGGAGGGAUUGGUGGUGGAAACGGUUGAAGCACUGGGGCACCAUAUGGGCGUUGUAGACUCAAGGGAGUAUUAAGUGGCAGAGCUGUUGGUGUAGAUGAAGAGACAGGCUGCAUCAUCCCCGCAGAGGAGGAUGGAGGAGGAACAAAGAAUAAGGAAGGCUUUACAAGGUUAGGGGUAGGUGCUGACAGAGGUGGAGAUGGUAUUGCAAGGUUGGCACGAUAGGAGAAGCAACACUGGCGGGAUGAGAAGGUAAAGAAAUAGUUGUAUUGGACUGGUAAGGUUGUGCAGAGAUUGCUGCAUUAGAAGUAUUCCCCACAGUCAAAGCUGUCUGCAAUGAUAAGGACAGAUGUCAUAUACAAGGACAUCAUAGAAGUUGAACCUCACACAAAAAUGAAGUGAUAACAUGUGAAAAUAGUAUAUGACUUGCUGCAUUUUUGUGGUAAUGUUGCAUACUUAUGUAGAAACAUAUUAUUUCAAAGAAAACAUACACUGAAGAAGUUCACAAAAGCAGGAUCUUCAGGAACAUCAACAGCAUUUGAGGGAGUUGACUCUAGAGGACCAUCCAUAACUGCCAUAGUUGGAACAGCUUCCAGUUCCUCAAACUCACUGCAGUUUAACAUAAAAGGAACUUGAUGACCAAUUUAAGUAAUAAUUAGAUGAUAUACGAGGUUAGGGAAAAUGAUGAGUGGACCCUUAUGGAAGGUGAUUUCACCUUAGCUAAACAGGAAAAUAAAAAGAAAUCAAAGCUGAAUCCUCGAGUGCAAUGCAAAGAAUUUUUUCUCUCUUCUCUAACUCCUCUUAUUCAAAAUUGCUCAUCAUUGUGCUGUUCUUCGAGAUUUCGCUAGAGUAGAGAAAGCUAUUCUCCCGUUAAGUGCAGAGGAAAGAGAAGGGCAAAGGCCUGGUAUGAUGCUAUUCUAUAAGAAGUGAGAAAGUGAAGGGCUAAAAUAUUUUGCAAUUUGGAGGUGGUGUUUUUCAGUGUGUGUGCUUCUGAAUUUAUUACCUCUUUAGGAUCCAUAGAAAUUGCCUCUUGUUCAGCAUGCACUGUGCCUACGAGUAAGGCGAGCUUGCAUGGUAUCUAUUGUCUAUUUAUUUGGAUAUUCAAACAGGACUACCAGCAACCAAACACAAAUCCCCAAACAAAACACUCUUUCAAGUGCAAGGAAAGAGUAACUUGGGCAUAUUUAUGGUUCAAGCACUACCAUAACUAAGAAUGUGAUGCUGUCCACAAACACUAUAUCAGUGCCUUUUGAACUACAUCACAUGCUCGAAGACUUUUUUUUUAGUCAUACAUAAAUUAGCUAUAAAAUUAAGACUAUUAUACAACUAAAAAGAAAGAAAAAUUGUUUGCUACUACAUAUCAAAACUGGUAAUAGCAAUGUAAGAUGGCAGACUUCUUACUUAAACAGAUGAGAGGCUGCAAAUAAAAAAUUUGUGCAAAUAAAAUAUAUGAUAAAGAGCAUAAUACUUUCUUGGGGGCUAAAAAUAAUAUACAACUUGUGAAAUAUAAAUUGAGCUACCAUUACCUUUUAGAUGUAGCAACUUUCGACUUUUGAGGCACCUUGGAAUAUGCAUUCAGAAUCCUGCAUUUGGAAGCCAAAUAAAUAAUGUCAACAACAAUUUUACAAUAGAAAAAUUAAAAAUUGAUAAAUGGCAGUUGUAAUUUAUGUAUGUGUAAAGAUAGCAUCACAUCCAGGGUCCUCCCAUAAACAUGCUUGUAACAAGAAUUAGUUUGCCUCAACUGCUAGCAACUAUACAAUAGUAAAAAUCACUCUUAUGAACUCAACAAUACUAGGCACCAAUAAGAGUAUGAUACCGCCAUUCUAAAUGGAAGAGAAUACAACUGUUUUACAACUAUGUCACAUCAGGAGAUAUGCUAGGAGGAUUAAUCCAGAUACCAUCCAACCCAAUUUGGAAAACUCGAGUCAGAAACCAGGAGCUGUAACCAAACCUUACAAUCUUGAAGGAAGAAGGAGACUUGGGGCAUUUUUCCAGAUAGGUGACUUACAAGAUCUCCUGCCAAGAAAAUAUCUAUUGCUUUGAACCUCCAUUGAAAUUUCUUUUCCCUUUUUCUUGUUUUGACUUGGAACUUUCCAGCAUCAUCUAUUUGAUCUUUUUUAAAGCUAAAAUAGCAAUCUAUGGGUUGUCAACAUCUUAUCCCCCCCCCCCCCCCCCUCGGGGGGGCCCCCAAAAAAAAAAAACCAAUGAGUUGUCAAUAAAUAGCACCUACUCAACUUAUGUUCUCCAAUGGAUGACAAUGUGCAAAUCGACCUAGCAGCCACAUUUUUCCCCCCUUUCAACCACCAUUAGGCAACUUUUCUAACCUUUCUUCAUUGCCCACGUCUACAGAACUAUCAUAUAAAGACUACAUUAUUAUUGGGAUAGAGAAUAAAAUACAGACUAUAUUAUUAUUAUAUCUAAUUUUAUGAAUUAACUAGUGCAAGACUUAUUUAGUGUCAAAUCAAGAACUAAUUAGAAAAGACAACUCAUGAUAAUACAGACCUUAAAAGGCAAUAGCUAGCAACACCCCAUAUACUCCUAUUUUAGCCUUCAAUAUCCUGGUAAAAACACAAUUAAGUCUUGCAAAAGAACAUUCACAAGUAAAUUCAACAUUAAUUAAGAUUAAGUAUCUACUGCACCUUCAAUCAAUGACUGGGUGAAUAGCAUGGUCAACCAUCCAGUUCCUGUAGCCCUCCUUGUACCUAUGUUAGUUACAUUUUACAUAUUAAGCCACGAAAAUGAAGGGUCACAGCCUGGUAAAGAAAGCCAUUAAUUAAUAGUUUUUGUUUAAAAAGUUCUCGUUUAGAUCUUUCCUAUUCAAUGAAUCAACGUAAUCCAUGGAGAACUCUUCCAUUUCAAGCAUUGUUUGAAGAUAAUUGGAAAGCCUAAAGAUAGUAUACAAGGACCAAGAUAUCAAUUAGGUCAAAUAGUGAAUGUCAAAUAUAAAAAAUAAAUAAAAGAAGUUGUACAUGAUCAUUUACUAUCAAGUUCUGUAAAAUUGAAAAUACCAUUAUCCCUGUAGAGAUUCUCAAACAACUCUUUAGCAAAUUAUAAAAUAGUUAAAAAAAGAACGAAAGUUUAAAAAAAAAUGUACAACAGCCAUAUCAGGAGAUGUUUUUCUUCUCAAUCUCAAUAUUUUCUAGCCGUAAAACAAUUGAAAAGCUUAACACCAAGUGAAUUAUUAAGAAUUCAUCAUUUAAAUUCCCAAAUCGCAAAAUGUUGGUGCAACUAGGAAAGUGCAAAUGCAAUCACUUUACUAACACAAGAAACAUCAAUAGUGAGAAGCCCACUUUGUAUCAAAUUUGAAACAGAUAGAUAGAGGUCAAAAAAAUUAUAAAGAAACUCAAUUAAAAGCCUUUCAAACAGCUUUUGCAUGCAACAAGAACAAAUCAAAGGCGAUGUGAAUGUAUUCAAAGACUAAUUUACAAUCAUCUACAGGACAUAAAUAUCUUGGAUAACUACUCUCUAUACCUUACUGUCCCACUGAAAAUCAUCAAAUCCCUCCAAACAAAAAUGACAAAAUGGAUAAGAAUUGUCUGGUUAAACUUCAAUAACUUAGCAGCCACAGCAAAAACUUAUGUAGGCACGCAAGCCACUCAAAAUAGUCAUAUUGUUUGCUUUCCAAACAAAAGCCACUUUGUAAUGAAUAUUCAUAAAUUGCUACUACCAUGUUUGUUAAAGCACGUGAAAACCACCAUAACUAACUAAAUGUAACUGAUGAUCAUCAUCAAGUUCAUGGAAUCACAUAUCUGACAGUAUUAAUUAGUGCAAAUGGCAUGCUUCUUAAAACUCCGUAUUUCUCACAUGGGCGCCAUUCCAAUCAACCAAUGAUUCUGAUCUAGUCGGCAUAUUCAACCCACGAGCGAGUAAUACCUCCUAUUGCUUCUUUACAUUUCUCAACGAAAUUCCACAUUCUAACCAUACUUCUGAACUUGUAGCUCCCAUAGACUAAUACAAUAAAAAGAUUUCUUCCCACACCACCUCAGCCCCCACUCCUGAAAAACCAAUUUAAAUUCUCAUUGGCUGUACAACCUAUAGUCCAUACCAAAUUGAAAAAUUUACAAAUAUAGAACCUCAAAGAAUCUUCUUGCAUUCCAUUUUUUACGGCAAGAAAUUUGACUUUUACCACAUGCAAGUCAACAAAUAAAAAAAUCAUGUCUUUGUGAGAUGCACAUUUUCAGACGAAUCUGAAGAGCAAUGAAACCGUAAAAACCGAAUAUGAGAACACCGAGGACUCCAGAUAUCACCUAUAGAAUCUUCGGUCCACACUUGCAUGAUGAAAAUGAUGAAAAAAAAUUGAAGGCUUCGUCACCAGCUCCCCAGGUUGUUUUGUUCUCCUAUCUCCUAAACAUAAAGGAAAUGCAACCUGUUCUUUUUUCCAAUCUUAAGGGGCACAGAACGACUCUGGUAUAAAAUAGUCAGUUUCUAUACAAAAAUAACUCCUUUGCACUUGGCAUUCCACAUCUCGAAAUAAAAAGCAUGCAAGGAGGAGAAUAUAAUAGCAUUAAACAAGUUUUAUUAACCAAACUUCAAAGAUGCCAGGCAAGGCAAAAAAGAAAUCUGUACAAGCCAGAUCCCAAGAAUAAUAAUUCCAAUAUACAAUUCACAAAAACAAUAACUAAAAACAUGUUCAUGAGGCCUCAGCAGAAGCAACAUGUAAUAACCAUACUCUAUUAUUUGAAACACAUUUCCAAGUUUGGUUAAGAUUCUAAACUAUUCUCUAUGUGUCAAUUAUUAACAUGUAAAACAAAAUAAUAUACACUUAAACUACUACAGUAGUAAAACCAGUAAAACAACAAUACCUGCUAAAAAGAUUUGCUACCUCUUCACAUUCACGAGCAUUGUAGAACCAAAUCCCAUUUACUUCUUGGGAUGCAUUCCGAUAUAACAAAUACGGAACCUGAACUUCAAACUCAAAAUCUCCCAAAGGAUUUUCCACUAAAUUAUCUGCACAUAUCCAAGAUAUUGAAGCUUAUCAGUGCAAAAACAUAUGCAAAAAGACAUGAAGGUUAGGAGACAUAACUAAAACUUAGCAACAACUGAAAAGCACAACAAGAAAUGAAAUAUAACAUGAGUUGUAAACAAGAUAGACACGCGGUAUCUAAAUAAUUGUACCAACCCCCUCUCCUGAUUGUCAUAAAACAGCCAAUAUUUAACGCUAGACAACAACAUUGCAAAUACUCUAGCCUCUAUAUUAUUGGCAUAUAAAUAUUUUCGGUUAGGUACAUUAUAUUCUUCGUUCUAAAACCUCAAUUAUUAGCUAGUAGCCUAGUACUGUGAUAAAAUGAUUCAUCACUGAAAUUAAAACUAGUUCACGUACAAAUAAUCAAAACUGAAAUAGAAGCAACGAUAAACCAACCUGUAUUACGUCGAUUCAUCACAACAAACUGAAAUCGAGGCUGUGUGUUCUUGAAAAUUGAAAAAAUAAUAAUUUCACCAACUUCAUAUGUAAUACAAUCUCCAAAAAACCGAAUAUCAAAUGAAAAAAUGGAAAGCAUAAGAGAGAAAAGAAUCUAAUUUUAUUGACCUUUUGACGACGAAGAGAGAUCCUUCAACAUCCUUAUGACUCCAUUGGCUGAGGUCGAUGUUGAACUCGUAGAAGGUGACAUGAGCGGCCGUGAUGAGGAUCUCCUCAAUGAAUGGAUCGAUUCGCUGAAGAACUGUCAGGUUUAGGAGUUUUGUGCUCUGCUGGUCCAGAUUAGCCAUUAAUUUUCCGUUCUGCGACAUUUUUCAUAGUCCUUUUGGGCUCUGCCUCGAGCACAAGCGCCAUGGUUUUUCUGUGAGCUCUCUCUUUUGUAAAUAAAGUGUUUGAUGAGAUAGCCGAGAGAGAGUGAAAGAGUUGAGACUCGAGAUUGAUCUUGCUUUAACUUCUUUCAAACAUUUGGGAAAUAGCAUUUAUUUCUUUCAAAUUCUCUACUUUUUUUUCCUUUAUGUUAUUUAGACCCCAAAAUUAGAUUUAUUAUAAUCAUAUUUUACCCGUACACUAUUAAUCCCUUUUAUUUUAAAUUGUCAAUAUUAAUGUUUCAAUCAUAACUAAUGUGAUAACUCAUCGGUAACUGUAACAUUAACUUAAUUAUUAAUGUUUAUCAUGAAAUGAUGAGAUUAUUAUUCAAAACUUAGUAAACAUCAAUGACUAAUAUAAUAUGACAAUUACAGCUGAAUAUUAGUACAAUAAUUAGGAUUCCUAAAGUUAGUGAAUGUAUUAUAAUAUAUGUGUGUUACACUAUUUUAUGUCUCUCAAAUUCAAUUAAGUAAUUUCAGAGACCUAACCUUUUAUUACAUUAAAUUAAGAAUGUAUACAUGAAUGAAAGAUGUGCAGUUUUUGUUCUAUUUUUCACUAUUAUUUGCCAUUCAUCUACGUACGUCACUUGAUUUUUUGUGAUUAAUAUGCUUAAAUGGAUCUCUUUGAUAUAAAUAAAAUAAACGAAAAGUCUAAGAGAAAAAAAAAAUGAGGACCGAAAUUAUUACACCUACAACAAAUUUGCCCAGAGAGCAAUAAAUCAAACUUGCUUAGGAAGUUCAACAAUGAUUAGUUAAUAACUAAAAGAGCCUUCACCUAACAUGUUAAAGCUUCCGUCAAGCACAAACCCAUUGAAAGCUGUUUAGGUCCGUUUUAGAUCAUCGGAAAUUUGACAAAAUCAUAAAAACCCUCAUCUUAGAAAUUCCAAGCAUCAGGCAAUAGUCCUACUUUAUUGAUAUUGAGAGUUACACAAUAAAAGUUUCGUACAAAUUUUGCAAACGAAAAGCACAUAAUACACUUAACUAGGAGGGAAAAUUAAAGUGUAUAUAUUACAAACUGCUAACAAUAUACAGUAGUAAAAAUCACUCUUAUGAACUCACAAAUACUAGGCACCAAUAAGAGUGUGAUGCAGCCAUUCUAAAUGAAAGAGAAUACAAUUGUUUUACAACUAUGUCACAUCAGGAGAUAUGUUAGCAGGAUUAAUCCAGAUACCUUCGAACCCAAUUAACCAACUCGAGUCAGAAAUAUCUAUUGCUUUGAACCUCCAUUGAAAUAUCUUUUUCCCUUUUUCUUGUUUUGACUUGGAACUUUCCAGCAUCAUCUAUUUGAUCUUUUUUGAAGGUAAAAUAGCAAUCUAUAGGUUGCCAACAUGUUAUUCUGCCAAACCCCACCCCACCCCCUCCCGGGGGACAACAAAUAAUGCCUACUCAAAUUAUGUUUUCCAAUGGACGACAAUAUGCAAAUCGACCUAGUAGCCACAUUUUUCCCCCUUUCAACCACCGUUAGGCAACUUUUCUAACCUUCCUUCAUUGCCCACACCUACAGAACUAUAAUAAAAAGACUACAUUAUUAUUGGGGUAGAGAAAAUAUGCAGACUAUAUUAUUAUUACAUCACAUUUUACUAAUUAACUAGUGCACGACUUAUUUAGUGUCAAAUCAAGAACUAAUUAGAAAAGACAACUCUUGAUAAUACAGACCUUAACAAGCAAUAGCUAACAACAUCCCAUAUACUCUUAUUUUAGCCUUCACUAUCCUAGUAAAAACACAAAUAAGUCUUGCAAACGAACUUUUAUAAGUAAAUUCAACAUUAAUUAAGAUUAGGUAUCUACUGCACCUUCAAUCAAUGACUGGGUGAAUAGCAUGGUCAACCAUCUAGUUCCUGUAGCCUUCCAUGUACCUAUGUUAGUUACAUUUUAUAUAUUAAGCCAUGAAAAUGAAGAACUCUUCCAUUUCAAACAGUGUUAGAAGAUAUUUGCAAAGCCUAAAGAUAACAUACGAGGACCAAGAUAUACACAGAUAGUUUCUUUACGGGACUAAAGAGCUUUUUUAGAUGUUAAAACUGUUUCAAACUGUUUUUCUUGUUUGGUUUAACUAAGGAAGAGCUUGUGGAAGAUUAAAAAUGAUGUUUCCUGUUCUCUGUAGGAAGCUUUUAGGAGAUUUUUUGGGUUUUUUUGAAAGGUUGAAUUGUCAAAAAUACCUUGAUGUUAUUGUUUGCUAAAAGAUGUUAUGGACAACUAAACAACCAACAACAUUUUGUUAAAAGCUCUACUCGUGUAGGAUCUACUUAAAGAAUCUAUACCAAACAGAUUCUUAGACUAAUAACUCGAUCUUAAGUUUGUAAAAUUGGGCUCAGAAUCUCCACUAAGAACCCCGCUUCGGUGAGAAAGCCCAAGCCUGUUACUUUGUAUAAGCUUAUUCUGUAUGUUUGAUUGCAGGAACUGGCCGAUCAUACCGACGAGGUGAGUGUGCAACAUGAGGUGCUUGACGGGAUGUUUACUUUCUAUGAUACAACUAAAGCUAGCCUCAACAUAUAUCAGGUGCCUGCUUGUUUUUACCUUCUAGAUACUAAUAUUGUUUAGACGUGUAAUCUCUCUCUCCAUUGAACGCUAGACGGCUCGUCUCAAGCCUUCUACGUACAUCAGAGUCCUUCUUUAGCUUUUUAUGUAUAAAGUUUUGAUCUUUUUCCUUCAUUUGCUUGAAGCUCAUUACUGCAGAUUUUUUUUACAGGUUGCUAGUGUAACAUUCGACUUGCUGUUGCUUCUAGUGUUGGGAUCGUAUUUAAUUGUGCUUUUCAGCUUUCUUGUCACAACAACUUGGGUAUUACUCUUUCUCCAUAUCAAGCUUGAAGUUCUAAAUUUCAGUUUUAUCUUGUAUUUGAUGUUUUACAGGUUGCUGGAAAUGUGUUUGGUUAAUCAGAAAGAGAGCAAGAAAAUGAAAGAAAUCUAUUUCACUUUUUAUUUAUCAGCAUGAUUACAUUCACAAUGAAUCUAAGCUGCUAUUUAUACUUAAAUGACUACACACGAGAAUCUUCUUGCUAGAUAUUUCUAGAAACUCUACACGCACACUCGCACUGAGCUAGUGGUUACUAAAACCGUUACAACGAUAUUGCCAGCUCAGCAUAACCAACUUAUAACUAACACACUCAGCUGCAGGGGAAACCAUCAAGCUUACUGUGCAUCCUCUGUAAUCAAGCUUCUUUAAGCAUGCUCUGCAGAUCAUACGUCUGAAUUAUCGAAACAAGAUGAAUUAUUUUUUGUUUAUUUCAGCAGGCGAUCUAUGAGCGGAAUUUCUUGCAACAAAAGAUGUGUGUCCACCGGCUUGUAUUCAAUUCGCGAUGGAAUAAGAUCCCUUCAGCUUAUGAGAACUUCAAAUCAACUUAGGUCAUAUUUACACAAGGGCGCACAUGAUAUUAAUCUAAUGGCAAUUAUAUCAUCUAAAAUCCAAAACGAAGAGUCUCCCAUUUUCUUGUUCUCUACUCUGUUCAUAUUAUCAUAAAUUGACGAUUGCAAGGCAGCCGCAGAAAGGGAAUCGGCUUUUGGAAUAGGCGGCAUUUUUUUCAUAUGAAACAUAAAACAAUUUAAUAUCAAUUUUCUUCAGGAGACUGAGCAGAUUGUCUCGCAAGUGGCGCAUCGGUAUUGUAACGUCUGCUGGGUCUUACAUUAUCCACAAAAAUAACUCGUCCAUCUAGUAACUGCAAGUACAUACUUUGAGAUGCUUAAACUCAACAAUAUAAGCAUGGUAAAUUAGAGAAAAAUGAUGCAACUUUACCUUCCCAUUCAUGUCUGCCAAGGCUUUUUGGGCUUCCUCUUCUGUACUGAAAGUCACAUACCCGUAACCUUUUGAUCUAUUCUUACCUUUAUCCAUUAUUAUUGUAGCUGCAAAAAGAAAAGAAUCGGAUAUUAGAAAAUAGUGAAGAGGGAACAGGGGUUGAGACUUAAAAUAGAAAUAGACCAAAUCCUCAGUGACUUGGCCAAACUGUGAAAAAGCAUCAGCUAACAUCUCUUUAGUGGUUGAGAAAGAUACGCCUGCAAAGGAUGCCAGUUAAUUUUAUCAUAAUUAGAUGGUAAGAUUGCAAAUUCUGCAGCCAAAGGUAGUACGGAACUGAAUGAAGGAAAUCAAAUAUGAAUAUGUUUUCAAUCUCAAAAUAUUAAGAGUUACAAGUUCAAGGGAAUCAGAUGAUGGCAUGGUUGAAUUUUAUAAAUAUUUGAUAUUUUGGACCGAACAGGGCAAACAGAUGGAUCCAGAUAAUCAAGAAAAACAUCAAUUCCAUGCAACCAAAUUAGUGUGGGCAAUGCAAUUGAGCAACACUAUAAAAUUAUUCAAAGAAAUCUCUAGGUCAGUAUCCAAAUAUAUGGCUCCGUCCGUUCCACCACCACAACCAAAAAAAUCAGAUCCCCCCAUUUGGAUUCGAUUGAUUAAUUUGAGCAUAUAAAAUCGGGUUUUAAACUUCCCUAAUCAAAAUUUAUAUUCCACAGAAUCAGUUCCUUUAACAUGAUGCAUGACAUAAUAUUUUGUUUGCAAAAUAAAGAAGAAAGAUGACAUAAUAGAAACACUCACAGAGAGAGAAUACCUUCGACGAAAAGCUUCGAAGUGAAUCCUCUGUAAAAUACGAGUUGAGCUGCUGAAUUUUUCAAGUUUGAAUGAGAGACUGCGCCGUUUCUGAAAAUGUUUUUUUCUCAUUAGCGCCGCCAUUUUUGUAAUAGAGGGUAAAGAAAUAAGUAACAAAGUAAGAGGUGAGCAGAAGCGGCCCAAUUUAGUUAUAUGCCAUGUAUGCGAUCAAAAUUGAAUGGUUAAAUGGCAGCCACUGUGUUACAUCUUGUGUACGUAACAAACCGCCUACAUGGGAUCAUUGGAUUCGGGAAUAUGAAAUCCAAUGGAUAAUAUUGAAUUUAACGAAAAAUAGAUUACAGGUUGCAUUAGUCCAAGUUUAUUUCAAACAAACCAGCUGAUGAAAUAGCCGCUAAUCAAAUUUAAAAGGGAAAAAAAAAUCAAAUUAUAGGUUAUAGAUCUUAUUUCCAUCUUAAAUCUGUCUUUCAUGGUGACUCAAUGUGUAUACUAAUUUAUAAUUUGGAUCUAUAUUAGAGCUAAUGCUUCCCUAAAUAUCUAAUGAAAAUUUUCUUUUCAUUUAAUAAUAAAGAAAACUUGCAUUAAAACUAAAAGUACGGUAAUACCUGAUUUAUAAAUAGAUUGCAAUGUAAUUUUGAUAAAUAAAACAAUAAUUUAUGAAAUGGUUAUAACAUAAUUUUAAUUUUUUUUUCAAAAAGGAAAAACAACAAAAGUAAGAAAUAGAGAAUGAGGGCUACAAACUUUGUAUCUUAAACGGCCGUUAGAUUAUUUGUAAAUGAAAGCAACGGUGAGAUAUUGGUGGCUUAUGGAAACAGGUAAUCAUAAGGACUAUGAGUUUUUUUUUUUUUGUUGUUGUUACAUUGAUAUAUUACAAUCAUGAUUCUAUUAAUAUUUACAAUCAGAAUUUUAUCUGACUAUCUUUCAUAAUUCUAAACUAGUACAGCCUAAAUUCCUAUUCUCAUAUAAUAUCAAAGAGAGAUAUAUAUUAUUUUCCUCUAUUAACGAAGAGAUAUUUUUACUUCUAUCAAAUUUAACUAGAACGAGAAUUAAGUCAUUUUCAAUAGUCAGGACUCAGAACUCAUACACGCUAGUUUGAAAGUGUGGGGUGUGACAAUGAGCCAAGAGACCAUUGACAAGUACAAAAGAGUAGUUGCAAUUAAUUCAAACCGCUACACACGCUAUUGCAACCAAAUCGAGGGCCCUUUUUUGUUUGUUUCAUUGAAAAGUAGUUUGCACAAUUAAUUCAAACCGCUACACACACUAUUGCAUCUUUUGAAAAAGAAAAAUGGAAUAGUUUUCCAAGAUUAAUUCAGAGAAUAAGAUUUAAUAAUAAUGAUGUUAGAAAUCUUGAUAUUUGAAUCUUAAUAUUAUGUAUCAUUGAUUUAUUAAAUAAUAGAUUUCAUAGUUUCUAAAAGUAUUUAACCACUUGAUAAAUGUUAUAUUUGUUGGGACUAAAUUAGGACUUAAAUGUUGGAAUAUCUAACAUUGCAUAAAUAAAUAAAAACUUAAUAAUUUAUCUUCACACGACUAAUUAUUUUUACAUCACAACUAACCUUAAUUAUUUUUAAAGUAACAAUAUUAUUAAAUUGCGCUGACUAGUUAUCAAAAGAUGAAAGCAUGUUAAAAUAAGAAAGUACUAAGAAACAUGUGCUUAAACAAAGGUUAAGGCUACGAACAAUUAAGAAGAAACAACUUACAAUCAAAGGUUAAGAUUAUGAACAAUUUAAGGAAGGUAUUGAGCAGAGAAAGGGACGGAAUGGUUUUCUGAAUUGCCGGUGACAAGAAUGUUUGUGUUGUGAAAAGAAAUCCAAUGGUUUGUAAAUGGGUUGAAUUUUUCGCUCGCUUCAAUGACUUGCUUAUGCCCAAUAAAUUACUUUGCACAAUAGUAUUUGGGAUCCUAACAAUCAACUCUUAAUUUGGUCCCAAUAUAUUACUUUAUGAAUGCUUGUGUUGUUUUUUUUUAUAUAAAAUAAUUUAUUUAACUAAUCAUAGAAAUAAGAGAGAAAAGGGGGCAUUUGUUGACUCAAAGUCAAUUACAAAUACAUAACUCUUUCACGCGUUCAUGAAUUUCCAUGAAAGAGAGUGCCUCUCGUCUCUUUCCGGACAGUGACUCCAAUUAUGUUAACGUGACAAAUACAUAACGCUAUUACAUACAAGAAUAAGUUUUUGGAGCCGAGACUUGAGGGAGGUUCUAUCUAAUUCUAAAGGUUGUAACCAAAUCAUUAUCCCCAAUUUUUUUCAGUUAAAUAAAAUAAAAUUUAUGCUUAAGUAUAAAUAAUUUUUUUAAGUUAAAUAUAAAAUAAAAUUCAUGAACUUCCUAGAAAGAAAGAAAACCCUUCACCUUCUUCGUGACAACAAAUGAUGUUGAUAUGACAAAUACAAGCGCUAUUACAGGGAACAGCAUAAGACCGAGACUUGAUAAAUAUUAAAUAUAUAUUAUAAGUGGAGCAAACGAACAGAAUAAUAGAUAUUUUAUAAUACUCUUCAUAAAAAUCCAAGUUUUGAGCUGGCCUAUAAGCUUAUCUAGUGAAGUCUGGGUAUCCGCGUUGCCCAAGGUUCCGUUUGAAUCCAGGCCGUGUAGAUGUUUAAGACAUCGCAUAUGGACGGAGUGGAAAUAUUUUCAGUUGACUGAAUUAAAUAAAAAUAUAUUACAAUCAUAUUAUAUAUUAGCAGCAAAAAUAAAAAGAAAUGAAGAAAAACGCAUGCAAGACUUAGACAAGUCAAUUAAAAGCUGGGAGUAUCAUCAGUUCAAUUGAUUAUAAAUAGCGUAGAGCCAUCCUCUCGUUGUUGCAGAACUGAAGCAAAGAGACUCAGAAAGAGUGUGUGUAGGUGAUUAUAAUUAAGAAGAUAUAAUGUGUGGUUCAAAAAGAGUGUGGGUGAGUGAGUUAAUUUUCAUAUUAUUAGUAGUAAAAGGGUGGUGGAGUGAGGGAUGUUUGGAGCAAGAGAGGUCUGCUCUCCUCCAACUCAAACAUUUCUUCAAUGAUGAUCACUGUCUUCAAAACUGGGUAGACGAUGAGAAUUAUUCAGAUUGUUGUCAGUGGGAAGGGGUUGAGUGCAACGACACCACUGGCAGAGUGAUUGAAUUAGAUCUAGCACUAACUCGGAAUUGGGAAUCAGCAGAGUGGUAUAUGAAUGCCUCUCUGUUUACUCCCUUUCAACAAUUAGAGUCUCUUGAUUUAAGUUUGAACAAUAUAGCCGGUUGUGUUGAAAAUGAAGGUCCUUAAUUUACUCUAUUUUAAUUUUUCCUCCUCGUAAUUUCUUACAUCUAUCUGAUCCCUUUUGGCUUUUGUGUUAAUUUGCACGUGAUACAAUAAAAUUAUUUUUUAUUUUUUAUUUUUUAUUUUUUGGCAGGUCUGGAUAAGUUAUCAAGGUUGAACAACUUGAAGUUUCUUCAUUUAGACAUUAACCACUUCAACAACAGCAUCUUUUCGUCUCUAGGUGGUCUUUCAUCACUCAGAAACUUAUCAUUGGCUGGUAAUGAAUUGGAUGGAAGUAUUGAUAUUAAAAGUAAGUACGCUUCAACCCUUCUCCCCUGUCCCAUCUUUUGUGGAUCUUAUUUCACUGAGCAGCUGGAAGUAUUGAUACGAGAUCUAGCUAGACUCUUGUGAGUUUAGGCUUCAAGGCUUUGAAUAUUAUAAAAAUAGGAUUAAGAAAUUAUCAAUACAUAAUGUUAUUACAUACAAUAAUAGUUCUAAAGAUUGUAACAAAAUCAUUAUCCCCAAUUUUUUUAGUUAAAUAAAAUAAAAUUCAUGCUUAAGUAUAAAUAAUAUUUUGGACAUUCUUGAUAUUUGUCCUUUUAAGAUAAACAGCAACCCAAUUAUCUAUUUGUUUGUCUGUUUAUUUUUUUUAAUAACAGUUUGUUAGCAUAAAUAUUUACCUGUGAAGUCGAGGAGGAGAAAAUGUUAGAAAAAAUAAAAAGAAAAAAAAAUUAAGGGGGAUAGAAUCAGAUUUUCUUUUUUGAGCAAAGAACAUACGUAAAAAGAUAUUAAAUCUAUUAAGUCUAAUUGUCUAUAACGGCAAAUUGCAUAACGAAUAAUUUAUCAGUGUAAAAUAAAUUUUAUUAGAUUCUGAUUAUUUGUUUGAUUUCUUUUCUCUCUGGACUCAACUUAUAUUGUUUAUUUGAUUUGAUUUUAUUAUUUUUUAAAGAAACUUAUUGUUUAUCAAUACUGAAUGGCUUAAGAUUGAUGUCUUGAUAAUAGAUGGGGCAAUAUUGCAUUUUUAAUGCAGUAGACUUUGAAGUUAUCAUUGACAAGCUUAGAUGAAUUACUAGGACCAUAAUACAAAUGUCACAGGCAUCUAAGGCACUUACCAAGUUUUGAGUACAUUCCUGUUCCUAUCUAAUAGUUUUUAAUUUCUUUAAUUUAAGACCCCAUUCAUUAAUAUUUUCUUUAUUGUGAAGUUAAUUUUUUUAUUUGAAAUUAAUUUUUUUUAAAAAAAAAUUUGUUGACUUAUAGUUUACCUUUGUGUUAAAUGUUGGCAAAAUUAUUUUGUCCAAACCAUUGUUUUUGUCCUGAACGUCCAACUAAAAACUGAAUCAAGGGUUAAGUUGUAAGGUUUCAGUUCGUCCGUUAUAUUAAUUUAUUGUUUUAAUAUUAUGCAGUACAAAUAGGUGUAUAAGUCCAUCAUUUAAAUACAAAAUGAAACCACAUCAAUAUAGAAAUUAAAAGAAAAUGAAUUCUCACAACCAUACGGUGAGAUUCAAACUCUCUAUCUCCGAGGAUUUCUUAAAGUUAUUCUUAAAUUAUACUUAAAUGGUUAAAUUUAAUAAAUAAAGGUUUAAUUCUUUUCUCGCACAUUGUAGAAGCAAAUUUUCUCCUCUGUUGAAAAUUCUAAAUAUUUUUUUAAAUUAGGUUUCAACUAUGACAUAUCAGGAGAGAUUUGAUACAUUUCUAAUGCAACUGAUAUAACAACACAACUUUGUGAUUUUUACUAUUCAGGAGAAAAAGAACACAACCUGUAUAACCCAACCGUUUAUAUACAAACAUCGAAUCGCUUUUUAAAAUUAAAUUGGGAAAAUUGGGGAUAUAAUAGUUUUUCAUAUAUAUACAUUUUUUCCUUACAAAUUUAAAUUCAUGGUUGUCAUGAGCUAAAUAUACCUGCUUAAAGCCACUCAGUCGAACCCUUUGAGAGCUGCUUUAAAUUUUUCGGAUUAGCCAUAUUCUUUUCACUGAGAUUUAACAUAAAAAAAAGGAGAAAAUAAGUUAUUUAAUUAACUCUAUUUUAAGUGUUGGCAUAAAUACAGGACUCGAUUCCUUGAGUAACUUGGAGAUGCUGGACAUGAGCGACAAUGCAAUCGACAAUCUAGUGGUUCCUAAAGGUAUACAAAAUGUUCAAAUAUUAAUAAUUUGGAGGACAAUUUAAUUGAUUUGAUAAGGGAAUGCCCAAUGACACUUACCCAAAAUAAUUUAAUCCGAAAUUGUAUCUCAAAUAGAUUACAGAGGUUUGAGGAAGUUGAAUACCCCUUUUUUGGGGGGGGGGGGGGGGGGAGAGGGAGGCAGUGAUAUAUGGAAGCAAGGUGUUGCAAUCAAUAAAAAAAAUUUGUUGGUCAAUAUUCAAGGACUCAUCCAAAGUAAUCGUUAAAGUCUAGAGGUCUGCCCUCCACCAACUCAAACAUUUCUUCAAUGAUGAUCAACGUCUUCAAAACUAGGUAGACGCGGGAGAUGAUGAGAAUAAUUUAGAUUGUUGUCAGUGGGAAGGGAUUGAGUGCAACAACACCACUGGCAGAGUGAUUAAAUUAGAUCUAGCACAAACUCGAAAAUGGGAAUCAGCGAAGUGGUAUAUGAAUGCCUCUCUGUUUACUCCCUUUCAACAAUUAGAGUCUCUUGAUCUAAUUGGGAACAAUAUAGCUGAUUGUGUUAAAAACGAAGGUCAUUAAUUUACUCUAUUUUAAUUCUUCCUCCUCGUAAUUUCUUACAUCUAUCUGAUCCCUUUUGGCUUUUGUUUAAUUUGUACGUGAUACAAUAAAAUUAUUUUUUUUCAGGUCUGGAGAGGUUAUCAAAGUUGAACAACUUGAAGUUUCUUGAUUUAGGCUUUAACCACUUCAACAACAGCAUCUUUUCAUCCCUAGGUGGUCUUUCAUCACUCAGACAAUUAUCAUUGGCUGCUAAUCGAUUGAAUGGAAGUAUUGAUAUUAAAGGUAAGCAAGCUUCAUCCUUUCUUCCGUGUCCCAUCUUUGUGGAUCUUAUUUCAUCAACCAGCUGGAAGUAUUGAUACGAGAUCUAGCUAGACUCUUGCUAGUGCAAGCUUCAAGGCUUUGAAUAUUAUAAAAAUAGGUUUAAGAAAUUAUCAAUAUAUGCAAUUUUCUAUGCUUCUCAUAAUCAGACACAAUUCAAUCUAAUUAUUUCGUUUGUCCUGUCUUCAAAAGUAAAGAAUUGUACACUAAACGGAAAUCGACAUCGUAGCUUUUUAUUUUUUCUAAUGCUCUUUCUUUGUUAACGAGUUUAUAUCCUGAGAGUGGAUUGGAUUAAAAAAAAAAAAAAAGUUUUGAUGUUCAAGGUAAGCCAUAAUAACAUGCAUCUUAUUUAUCUGCCUAUAUCUAAAUUUGUGCACUGAAUUUAGUAUUUUGGUUAGUGUGAAGGGAUCAGAUAUUGGCUUCCAUAAACCAACUUGUAUUUACUUAAUUAAUUAAUUAACACCAUUUAGUAUUUAACAAAUUAAAAUUUCGUGUUUAAUUUGUCUUUUUUUUUUUUUUUUGAAACAAGAAUAAGGUAUAGCAGUAGGUAAAGUUGAAAUAAAUUUUUAUUCCUUACAAAUUUAAAUUCGCUGUUGUCAGCCAAAUAUACCUACUUAAAACCACUCAAUCAGGCCCUUGGCAACUGUUUUUUUAAGGUUUUUCUGGUUAGCCGUAUUCUUUUCUUAUUAAUAAAAUUCUUUUCGCUGAGAUUUAAGAUAAAAAUAAAAAAGAGAAAAUAAGUUAUUUAAUUAACUUUGUUUUAAGUGUUGGAAUAAAUACAGGACUGGAAUCCUUGAGUAACUUAGAGGAGCUGGACAUGAGCGGCAAUGCAAUCGACAAUCUAGUGGUUCCUAAAGGUAUACAAAAUGUUCAAAUAUUAAUAAUUUGGAGGACAGUUUAAUUGAUUUGAUUAGGGAAUGCCCAAUGACACUUACCCAAAAUAAUUUAAUCUGAAAUUGUAUCUCAAAUAGAUUACAGUGGUUUGAGGAAGUUGAAUACCCUUUAUUUGGGGGGGGGGGGGGGGGAGAGGGAGGCAGUGAUAUAUGGAAGCAAGGUGUUGCAAUCAAUAAAAAAAAUUUGUUGGUCAAUAUUCAAGGACUCAUCCAAAGUAAUCGUUAAAGUCUAGAGGUCUGCUCUCCACCAACUCAAACAUUUCUUCAAUGACGAUCAACGUCUUCAAAACUAGGUAGACGCGGGAGAUGAUGAGAAUAAUUUAGAUUGUUGUCAGUGGGAAGGGAUUGAGUGCAACAACACCACUGGCAGAGUGAUUAAAUUAGAUCUAGCACAAACUCGAAAAUGGGAAUCAGCGAAGUGGUAUAUGAAUGCCUCUCUGUUUACUCCCUUUCAACAAUUAGAGUCUCUUGAUCUAAUUGGGAACAAUAUAGCUGAUUGUGUUAAAAACGAAGGUCAUUAAUUUACUCUAUUUUAAUUCUUCCUCCUCGUAAUUUCUUACAUCUAUCUGAUCCCUUUUGGCUUUUGUUUAAUUUGUACGUGAUACAAUAAAAUUAUUUUUUUUCAGGUCUGGAGAGGUUAUCAAAGUUGAACAACUUGAAGUUUCUUGAUUUAGGCUUUAACCACUUCAACAACAGCAUCUUUUCAUCCCUAGGUGGUCUUUCAUCACUCAGACAAUUAUCAUUGGCUGCUAAUCGAUUGAAUGGAAGUAUUGAUAUUAAAGGUAAGCAAGCUUCAUCCUUUCUCCCGUGUCCCAUCUUUGUGGAUCUUAUUUUUAUUUAAAUUGUCUUUAAUUUGUCUUAUUUUUUAUUUUUUGAAGCAAGAAUAAGGUAUAGCAGUAGGUAAAGUUGAAAUACAUAUUUAUUCCUUACAAAUUUAAAUUCGUUGUCAGCCAAAUAUACCUACUUAAAACCACUCAAACAUGCCAUUGGCAGCAGUUUUUUAGGUUUUUCUAGUUAACCGUGUACUUUUUUGCUUAUUAAUAAAAUUCUUUUGUGCCGAGAUUUAAAAUAAAGAAGGAGAAAAUAAGUUAUUUAAUUAACUUUGUUUUAAGUGUUGGAAUAAAUACAGGACUGGAAUCCUUGAGUAACUUAGAGGAGCUGGACAUGAGCGGCAAUGCAAUCGACAAUCUAGUGGUUCCUAAAGGUAUACAAAAUGUUCAAAUAUUAAUAAUUUGGGGGACAGUUUAAUUGAUUUGAUUAGGGAAUGCCCAAUGACACUUACCCAAAAUAAUUUAAUCCAAAAUUGUAUCCCAAACAGAUUUCAUAGGUUUGAGGAAGUUGAAUACCCUUAAUUUAGGGGGAAGCGAAAUUCGAAUGAUAGAUGGAAGCAAGGUGUUGCAAUCAACAGGAUCACUACCGUCCCUCAAAACACUUUGCCUUUCGUAUACUAAUUUUACGGGAACAGUAGUUAAUCAAGGUAAGUAAAUCUUUUAUGUCGAAAAUAAUUGAAUUAAUAUAUAUAGCUAAAAUUUAUUGUUUCUACUUCUUUCUAAAUAGAAUUGCACAAUUUCACCAACUUGGAAGAAUUGAUAUUGUUCGAGUCUGAUCUCCAUGUAAGCCAGCUUCUGCAAAGCAUUGCAUUAUUCACUUCGUUAAAGUAUUUGUCAAUGCGAGUUUGUACACUUACAGGUGCCGUACAUGGUCAAGGUAAAUUACGGGUAUCUGAAGCUUUUAUGAUAUUAAUUCGAUAAUAAUUCUUUCUUUUCAAGUUAAUUUUUUCCCCUAAAAUAAGAUUUUUUUUCUUUUAAAUUUUAUAUAUUUUCAUUGUCCAAUAGUUCUAGCUUCUCUUAAUUGCAGGAUUCUUGAUUAAGGUUAAUGAAAUUUUAGUUCUGUUAUGUUAAGAAUAUUUCGAUCGCUUAGAAGAGUAAAGAAAAAUAAGUAAAUUAACCAAAAAAAAAAAAGAAAAGGACCGGAUUAUCCUUAUUCCCUUGCAUUAUGUGAUCAAUAUCAAAAUUAUAACCAUUUCUUGUUUAUUGCUUGUAGAUUUUCAUAAAUUCAAGAAUUUGGAACAUCUGGACAUGGAUGGGGCGCAGGUUGACGUCAACACCAGUUUUCUUCAAAUUGUCGGCGAAUCGAUGCCUUCUCUUAAGUUUUUAUCACUGACAUAUUUUAGUCUUAAUAAAAACACCAUUCUUGAUCAAGAUCAAGGUUAAUUAAUGAUUCUCCUUCUCCCUCUCUCGCAUCAUAACUAAAUUUAAUUGAGAAUAUCUAUAAUGCCAGCUAUUUAUAAACUUAAUGAAUGAUGAUAAGGAGCUAUUAUAAUGACAAAAACAACUGUAAAAUAGUGCGCUGUUGUAGUGUUAAUUGAAAAAUAAUGCUAAUUUUAUAGUUAUUUUGUUGCCAUUACGUCAGAUUCCAUUGUUCAAUUAUUUAAGUUUUAUGCAAUUAUAUUUUUCAGGACUUUGUCGGUUAGUGCAUCUGCAAGAGUUAUACAUCGGCUAUAACGAUUUGAGAGGUAGCUUGCCAUGGUGCUUGGCAAACAUGACAUCCCUUCAAGUGUUAGAUGCCUCUUCUAAUCAACUUACUGGAAACAUCUCCCCAGGCCUUUGUGAGUUGGUGCUUCUGAGAGAGUUACACAUUGAUAACAAUGAUUUUGGAGGUAGCUUGCCUUUGUGCUUGGCAAAUUUGACUUCCCUUCGAGUAUUAGAUGUCUCUUACAAUCAACUUACUGAAAACAUCUCCUCAUCUCCCCUCUUGCAUCUAACAUCUAUCAAAGAGCUCAUACUUUCAAAUAAUCACUUCUUCCAAAUCCCUAUUUCACUUGAACCACUUUUCAAUCUCUCAAAACUCAAGACUUUCGAUGGUGAAAUAUGCGCAGAAACUGAGUCACAUUAUAAUUCUUUGACCCCAAAAUUCCAACUGACUUCUAUCUCACUGUCUGGUUACAUAGAUGGUGGCAUAUUUCCCAAAUUCUUGUACCAUCAGCAUGACUUGAAGAAUGCUGAUCUCUCACACCUUAACUUGAGUGGAGAAUUUCCAAAUUGGUUGCUAGAAAACAAUACAAACUUAGAGACACUUCUUCUUGCCAAUAACUCUCUUUUUGGAUCAUUUCGGAUGCCAAUUCAUUCCCACCAGAAUUUAGCAACAUUGGAUGUCUCCAACAAUUUCUUUCAAGGCCAUAUUUCGGUAGAAAUCGGAACAUAUCUGCCAGGUUUAAUGGAUUUAAACUUAUCUAGAAAUGCUUUCAACGGUAGCAUUCCCUCUUCAUUUGCUGAUAUGAAAAUGUUGGAAAGGUUGGACAUAUCUGACAAUCAGUUGACUGGUGAAAUCCCUGAGCGCAUGGCCACGGGUUGCUUCUCAUUAGAAAUUCUUGCAUUGUCAAACAAUAGUUUGCAAGGUCAUAUAUUCUCUAAAAAAUUUAACUUGACAAAUUUGAUGACGUUGCAGUUGGAUGGUAAUAAAUUCGCUGGAGAGAUCCCAGAAAGCUUAUCUAAGUGCUAUUUGUUAGAAGGAUUAUAUCUGAGUGAUAAUCAUCUCUCUGGUAAGAUUCCAAGAUGGUUGGGUAAUUUGUCAUAUUUAGAAGAUAUUAUAAUGCCCAAUAACAAUCUUGAAGGACCAAUUCCAAUCGAGUUUUGUCAGCUUGAUUCUCUGAAGAUUUUAGACCUUUCAAACAAUAGUAUUUUCGGAACCUUACCAUCUUGUUUUAGUCCAGCAUCUAUCGAACAAGUUCAUUUGUCAAAAAACAAGAUAGAAGGACGAUUGGAAAGUAUAAUCCAUGACAGCCCUUAUUUGGUGACAUUAGAUCUUAGUUAUAACAGCUUACACGGAAGUAUUCCAAAUCGGAUUGACAGACUACCUCAAUUAAACUACCUUCUUUUAGCUCAUAAUUAUAUUGAAGGCGAAAUACCAGUUCAAUUAUGCCAGUUGAAGGAAGUGCGGUUGAUUGAUCUUUCUCAUAAUAAUCUAUCUGGUCAUAUUCCUCCUUGCUUGGUUAAAACUGCACUCAGUGAGGCAGUAGCUCCAACUUCUAGUUCGUGUGGUCGAGCGUCUGGCUAUGCACAGUUCACAACUUCUCAUAAUACAAGUGGAUCUCCGAUGGGAAAGGAAGAAAUUGUACAGUUCACAACAAAGAAUAUGUCCUACUAUUAUCAAGGAAGAAUUUUGACGAGUAUGUCUGGGAUUGAUCUUUCUUGUAACAAACUGACAGGUGAGAUUCCUACUCAAAUUGGAUGUCUUACAAGGAUUCGUGCACUAAAUCUAUCUCAUAACAAUUUGACGGGCACAAUCCCGACAACAUUUUCAAACCUGAAGCAAAUUGAAAGCUUGGACCUCUCCUACAACCUGCUGCAUGGGAAAAUCCCUUCUCAGCUCACAGUGCUAAAUACAUUGGCGGUCUUCACAGUAGCAUACAAUAACUUAUCAGGCAAAAUCCCAGAUAGAGUCGCACAAUUUUCAACUUUUGAGGAAGAUAGCUAUGAGGGGAAUCCUUUUCUUUGUGGAUGGCCACUGUCUAAAAGUUGCGAUGAUAAUGGAUUAUCAGCAGUGACACCAGAAGCUGACACUGAUAAUGAAGAAGGUGAUAGUUUAAUUGACAUGGACAGUUUCCUGAUCACUUUUACAGUAUCUUAUGGAAUUGUGAUAUUAGGAAUUAUUGGAGUUUUGUACGUAAACCCCUAUUGGCGGCGAAGAUGGUUUUACCUUGUUGAAGUGUGUAUGACCUCUUGCUACUAUUUUGUGGCAGACAAUCUUCUUGUUCCUAGAAGAUUCUAUGGUGGAUGGAUGUAAUUUCAUUUACUUCACAACCCACAAUUUUUUUUUUUCCUUUUUGCCCUCUUCCUCACAAUAAACACACCUAACACACCAAGCCGUGCCCAAAAUAAUCCUAUUUUAUUCAUGUCAUGAAUCCAAAAACUAUCCCAGCUCACUUUGUUUAACCAGCAUAACUAAAUUGUGGGUAUAAAUGAACACACUUUCGAAGCCUGUAACUUAUAAUAAGCUCAAACCCAAAAAUGACAUUUAAAUCCUGCAAGUGUUUUUCAUCAUCCCGAACAAAAAGAAACAAGAAUAAUUAUAUACCAAUAAUUUUUCCAUAAAAAAUACUGAUUUGAGUUGAAACACUAUACAAACUGGGUUUUAUUACACUUGCAGAAAGCUACACGGUAGACAAAAUCUAGCAGCUACAUAUUGGUAUCACUUUCAGCUGGUCAUGAAUGGUGUGCAUUCAGCAGUGCUCAAUAGACCAUGUCUAUGAAUUGAUUGUCCUAUUACAUAUAAAAGCUGGUCAGAUAUACAAGGAAAAAAAUAAUAAUUGAAAAUGCAUCACAAAAAAUAAGUGUUUCGCAUUAGUGUUUGCACUCUAAGCAUGGCAAAGUGGUGCGGGGUUCAUGAUUUUGAAGACUGUGAUAAGUGAAAAAUAGUUCAAUCCACUGAUGAACAUAAAUUUAUUUACAUGUCAAUUUAGAUAUCAUCAAAAAGUAAACAGUAAUUCACAGUCACUUAAAAUAGUUGAUAAAAUGCGUGCCAUGAAUGCAUUUUUGUACAUAAGAAAUCCAAAGAGUAUUUCUGACAAUACAAAUAUGCUAGCUUUAAUUCUGCUGUCAAUAUGCAAUUAAGAAGAUUAUACCAGCUGCAUGAUAAAGUUCCCCUAAUCUUAAUAACAGUAAACAUGAACAUGUCAGAUGCAAUUAUAGCUUCGAGCAUUUGCAUAACCAGAAAUCCUAACCUGAACAAGCACCAGAAGUGUCUCUCGAACUUUCUCCUUGCUGAUAAAUGGUCUGCUGUUUGAAGUAAGAGCAGGAGUAAGAGAUGGUGGAGGGGUUGGCAGUGGAAAAGGUUGAAGCACUGGGGCACCAUAUGGGCGUUGCAGACUCAGGGGAGGAUUAAGUGGCGGAGCUGUUGGUGUAGAUGAAGAGACAAGCUGCAUCAUCCGUGCAUANNNNNNNNNNNNNNNNNNNNNNNNNNNNNNNNNNNNNNNNNNNNNNNNNNNNNNNNNNNNNNNNNNNNNNNNNNNNNNNNNNNNNNNNNNNNNNNNNNNNNNNNNNNNNNNNNNNNNNNNNNNNNNNNNNNNNNNNNNNNNNNNNNNNNNNNNNNNNNNNNNNNNAGAAGGUAAAGAAAUAGUUGUAUUGGACUGGUAAGGUUGUGCAGAGAUUGCUGCAUUAGAAGUAUUCCCCACAGUCAAAGCUGUCUGCAAUGAUAAGGACAGAUGUCAUAUACAAGGACUUCAUAGAAGUUGA